rnacentral:lncRNA from 1 species
GGUGGACUUGGUGGCUUGUAAGGCGGUGCUGGAGUUGUUGGUGGCUUAACUGGAGGUGUAGGAACUGGGGGCUUAUAUGGGGGAGUUGGUGCUUUAGUUGGCGGUGCUGGUGCUGGAGUUGGUGCUUUGGUUGGGGGUGUUGGGGGCAUAUAUGGGGGAGUAGGGGCCUUGACUGGAGGUGCCGGUGCGGGAGUAGGGGGUUUAUAUGGGGGAGUAGGAGCCUUGGUUGGUGGUGCUGGUGCUGGGGGCUUAAAUGGUGGAGUUGGAGCCUUGGUUGGUGGUGCAGGAGCUGGGGGCUUAUAUGGUGGAGUAGGAGCCUUGGUUGGUGGUGCAGGAGCUGGGGGCUUAUAUGGUGGAGUAGGAGCCUUGGUUGGUGGUGCAGGAGCUGGGGGUUUAUAUGGUGGAGUAGGAGCCUUGGUUGGUGGUUUAUAUGGUGGAGUGGGGGCCUUGGUAGGGGGUUUAUAUGGAGUGGGGCCCUUAGUUGGGGGUGCUGGAGUUGGAGCCUUGUACGGCGGCACCGGAGUGGUGGGAGGCUUAACGGGUGGAGCAGGGAUAGGUGCCUUCACUGGAACAGGAGCAGCAUAUUUAAUCUGAACAGUGAUAUGCAACAAAUUUAGCAAAGUUCCAUUUACAGACUAUGGUCUUAUGCACCACAAUGGCUAAUAGCAUUCAGUAUGAAAAAAUACAAGAAAUACAUUAUCCAAAAAGAAAAAACAUGAAUCAGAUUGUUUCAAAAGAACCAAGUUUAAGAUUGUUACAACCUAGACAAGACAAAACAGUAAAAUAAAUGUUUGAAAAAUCACCUCAGUCUUCACUCCCACUUCAUUGGAAGCAACCUACAAAAAAAAGGAAAAAAAGAGAGUUGGAUAAACAUCAAGAACUAAAAACUCUUUGUGGUUAAGUCAAAAGAUGAGAAAGGAAGUAGAGUCAUACUGUUGUUGAAACAAGCAGAAAAGUGGCCAAUAGUAACAGCAGCAGAGCUUUGAAAGCCAUUGGUGAGAGCUCACACUAACCUUUGGUGCAUUGGUCAGACACUGGGUUGUGGUUUAAAUAGAGAUUGCAGCUGCUAUUUACUUGGUCCAAUAAAUGCUGCUUGCCAGCUUCACCAGAUCACUGACGCCUUAGAUAAAGAAAAUAAAAAUCAAAUUUUAUUUAAAAAAAACAUUGAAGUUUUUAUUUUUAUUCAAUUCAAUCCAACCACCCUUGUUAAUUUAAAAGUUAGCCCUCUGCCCAAGGACUGUGUCUGCUAAAGUGGUGGUUUAUCUAAUAAAAGAAAGCUAUUUCAUGUCCAUAUUUAAUUAACCGACACACAAAAUCCGACCAUUCGAGGCUUUGGGUCAUAAGCUUGCCUGAUAAUGUUUAAGAUUAUAUAAUAUGAUAUCCAUGUAUUUACAUUAAGAUUUUUUAAAAUUUUUUAAAAAGUUUUAUCGGAAUAUUAUCUUAGUUCGAAUAUAAUUAGGUUUAUAUGUCGUAAAAUGAAUAUAGACACUUAUAAAUAUAAGAAUAAAAAAGAUGUUAAGAAUUUUUUAAAAUUUUGAUAUUAAGUAAAUUAAUUUCUCAAAAAAAAAUUUGAAAUAAUUUAAUCUCUGUCAAUUUAGAAAGUGAGCACUUAGAGACAAUUAAUAACAUCAUUAAAAGAACUAAAAUUAAUCUUCAAAGUUUGAACAUCUUCUUUAUAUAUAUAAGCUAAUUAUAUAUUUUUUAGAAUUAGAAUCAAUUUGAUAAAAUCUAUAAAUAUUAAAAGUUUAAUUUAUUAUUAUAUCAAUAAAAAAUUAUGUACAAUUUAUGAAACACAUUAUUUAUCAUGAUUAAAUAUUCUUAAUUAUGCACUUUUAAAAUUAACAAUGAUUAAAUUAUUUUGAUUUUUGUGAGAGAUCAAUUUAGGGUUUUUUACAUUAAUAAUAUGAAAACAAUUAAUUAUGAAAAUGGGUAAAAAUCGGUAAGUGUCUUCAUAUCAAUAAUUGGAUUUCAUAUUUCUAGAUUAUUGCUAUUUAACAAUAGUGUUUCGUCUGAUUAAUCAAUCUUUUAUGGUUGCUUGCCAAAUUCUUGAAAAUCUUCACAAAUCUUGAUUCAACUGUUAAUUCGAGCGUAUUUUUCGUUGAAUGACCGAGAUCGAGUGUAUUUUCAAUUGUUAAUUCGAGUGUGGUCAUUUACAAUUGAAUCGGAGAAAAUCGUGUCUAGGAAUAAGGCCACACGGUCUGCCACACGAGUGGACCACACUGUAACACCCCCUAACCCUAAAUCGUUGCCUAAAUAUGGUUACGGAGCAUUACCGGACAUAUCAGAUAACUUAUAACCAAUUUAAACAUCAUUCUACAACCAUAACCACAAGACUCUUAUACUUAACUUAUACAUCACCUAGGUACAUGCCACAUUAUCAAAACAAAGGUACAUCACUAAAAUUUCUCUGAGGUCGGGAUUGCUCUGGAUGCUGGACCGGACACUGCUUUCUACUAACCUGCGUAUAGAAACAACCGUACGCUGAGUAUGGGUAUACUCAGUGGUAUUGCCAUAAUUCAAAUUUAUAACAUUAAUCGAUAAAUUAUAUACAUUCAAUUUAUGCCUACAAUUAUUCAUUAAUUAUCUCAUACUUUAAAUCAACUUGAUCAUUAAUAUCAAUAGGCAAUAUUUUUCUAUCUAUCAAUACGCAAUAUUUCACUAUCUCAAUUUCAUUGGAUUUUCCACAUCUCAUUCCAAUAGUUCAUUUCAAUUCAUAUAAAAUUCAUUUAAUUUAUCACUAUAUUCAAUAUCAAUUCUAUUGCAAUUUGUACUCAUUAAUAUCAUGUAACAAAAAUUUACUCUUAAUCAAAUCAUGAACUUUGGGUUCAUGUAUUCAAAUCUCAUAUCUCGAUUUCCAAUUCACAUAUCAAUUCACAAUUUCACUUUCUCAUUUCUUUCCAUAGCUCAAUCAAUCACACUUAUUCAAAUUUUCUCAUUUCAAUUAUUUACCCCUAUUAACAAGACUCGGACCUUGGCGGAUACAUGGAUCCAACCAAACACACCAGUACGGCACAUUGUGCCUAAAACGGUACAUGGUACCUGAUCAGUAUACGACACAUAAGUGCCUGAAACGACACACGAGGUGCCUGAAAUACGACACAUAAAGUGCCUGAUAUACGACGCAUAAAGUGCCUGAUCGACAAAACCGAUAAAUCCCGUACUCUUCCAAAUCCUAUGGCAUGCCAACUAUAUCUGACUUAUCCCAAUUACUUAAUAAGGUUUCCGAAUCACAUUUCAAUUCAAUCACUUUCUCAUACUUUCAAUUCAAAUCAUUCCAAUUUAAUCACAAUUCAAUUCAAUACAGUUUCCACUUUCCAAUCAAUAUACCAUCAAAUGCUCAUACAUAUUCAUACUUCAUUUUAAUUUCAUUUAAUUCACAAUUUCUUAUGUUCACAGUUCAAAUAAAUUUUUCAAUCCAAUAUGCAUUUCAAUACCACAUUAAAUUUUUUAAUUCAAAUCAUAUCACUAGUAAUUUCCAUUCAAUUCAAAUACAAUUAAAUAUCAUUUAAUUCAAUAUCGAUAUUCACCUUAUUUUUAUUUACUAAACAUAUUAUUCAAAAUUCAACAAUUGCUAUUAAUAAAUUCAUUACCAACACGUAUUUAUCAUUCAAUUCAAUCGUGAUACUUACCUCAAUUUGCUUAUCAUGUAUAUUAAUUUAAAUUUUAACAAUUAAUAAUUAAAUUCGAAUUAUGGUAAUACUAACCCAGAUUUCAUAAUUACUCCUCGAUAACUUUCCCCUUUUCUUUUUGUGCCGAUGCCUCGGGUUCUUUGCUAGCUACGAAAAUAAUAAUAAUAAUAAUAAUAAUAAUAAUAAUAAUAAUUGAAUUUCUAUUCAAUUUAUACCUUAAUUCCAAUUUAAGCCUAAUUAGCUCAUUUACUUUUCUAAUUCAAUUCAUACUUUAUUUCUAUUCAAUUUUCUUCCAUAUUCUACUUAACUAUCUAAUGUUCAUAAUAAAACCCCAAUUUAAAACUUCUUUCAAUUUAAUCCCUACAACACAAAACUUAUAGCUUAAUUUACAAUUUAAUCCUUUAAUCAAUUCUAAUCAAUAAUUCUAUCAAUUAAACCCCUAAUUCAAACAUUUGUUCAACAUGAACUAUACUUAAAAACCUACAAACUUCCAAAACCUCAACUUAAUUUCAUCAAAACUUUAUUCUAAAACUUCUAAAACAUCAAAAUUAAGUAAAAAGGACUUAAUUGACUUACCUUUUAAAGCUUUAAAACGUUAAACCCUAGUUUUUCCUUUUAUUUUUCUUUUCUCCUUUCUUUUUCCCACUUUCGAAUGGCCUUCUGCUUCUUUCCCUAUUUCGUUUCUAACUUCUCUGUCUCUAUUUGUUUUCAUUUCUUUCUUUUAUUUAAUUAAUAAUAAUAUAAUAUAUAAUUAUCUUUUACUUAAUUAAUAAGUAUGUACAUAUAUUAAUUAUAAAUGUAUACGUAUAUUUAUUAUACAUGUAUUUAUAAUUACCUCACACUUAUCACUUUUUAUGGUUUAAUUAUUAUUUUAGUCCUUUCACUUUUCUCUAUUCUAUAAUUAACUUUCACACUUAAUUCCAUUUAGUCCUAAUCCUCAAUUAACUUUAAUUCAACUAAAUUCACUUAACUAAAAUCCAAUUGGUCAUAUAACUAAUUCUAUAAAUAUUUUUAAUAAUUAUUUUACAAGUUCGUUUUACCAAAACAAAAACCCGAUAAUUCACUUUCUAAUGCCUACACUUUUUAGAUCAUUACACACACAAUCUAUUACAUGACUAUGUACCCUGGAAACCUUAGUGUAGUUUAUAAACCACAUGGCUUGCCACACGACUGUGCCUCCCUUGUAGCUUAAUUUUGCAAUAUCCACAAGACCACAAUCUAUUACAAUUUUGCCCAAAAAUUUAUGUUAUGUUUAGUUUAGUCCUUGUUUGAUCCUUGAAUUGUUCCUAGAAGUUUCCGUCCACUUAAUUGAUCAUUGAAAUAGUGUUUAUAAGGAAAUCUACAAUUUAUAUGCCCAAAUUGCUACGGUUAUAAUGUGUUUAUUGAUAUUGCUUAACUGAAUCGUUAUAGUGCUAUGAAUAAACAUGUGAUAUUAAUCAUGUCUACUGUCAAUGUGUUAUUGAUAAAUUGUGAGUGUUCAUACUGUUAUCGCCCCAUUAAUACAUGAUGAACAUGUCUAUUGCUAGUGUUGAACGAAAUAAGUGUUAAACAUGCCAAUGGAUGUUUGCGUUAUUAUGUUAUAAAGUAUGCCAUAUUGCAUUGCAUAGGGCAGGAUGAUUUGUACAAAGGAAUAAUGACAGUUUAAUAAUCUGCAAACAAGUGGUGGCUUGUCCAUAAACCAAGUGGCAAUUUGUUUAAUUUGUAAAUAUGUUGUGCACCUACAACAAGUGACUGUAAAAGCCCGUUUCUGAGUCUGAUCGGAACACUGGUUUUGGAACCACUUAACCGAGUCAAAAUAUUUAUUUUACUAUUUUAAUGAGUUUUAUAGUAUGAUAGAAUUAUCGUGUAAAAAUUUCGUAAAGAAAUUUUACUGAUUAAAUGGUUAAUUCGGUAAAAGGGACUAAAUCGCGUAACGCGAAAAUAAAAUAAAAAUAAAAAUAAAAUAUGAGUUCUAGUAUAUAAAUGACUCAAAUGGCUAUAGAAUUAAUGGUGAAAGUCCUUAAGUGGAUAAUAUACCUUUGUUAAUGAUAGUGGACAUUUAUGUCCAUAUUUUACAUGAUUUCUAUAUAGUUUUAUAAAGGUUAAAUAUGUAAAAUAGUUAAUAAGUUAUAAUUAAUUAAAAGAAAAAGCCAAAUUAUGUUUUCAUUCAUCAUCUAUAACCGACAUUAAAGAGAAAGAAUAGCCAUUUCUUUAGGGUUCGUUCAGCCAAGCUAUAAUUCUCAAUUAAGGUAUGGUUUUUUAUCCAUUUUUAAUGAUUUCUACGUUUUUGAGCUCGUUGUAGCUCAAUCUAGCUAGCAUGUACCUUAAUUUAUGAAAAUUUUGAUGAUUUUGAAAUUUUCCAUUGUUGAAUACGAGUAUAUUUUAAAGUAUUAUGCUAGAUUAUUGAUGGAUAUUGAAAUAUAUACAAGUUUUAUAAAGUAAAUUUUGACAAAAAUGAGCAUUAGGGAUUUAAUUAAAAAAAGAUAGAAAUAUUGUGGUUAGAAAUGUGAAAUAAAUGAAAAUAUGGGCUGAUUAGAAGUUAUAUAGUAUUCGGCUAAGUAUAUGCAUAAAGAAAUUUUGUAUUUUUUUUGUAUUUGUGAAUUAGGGACUAAAGUGUCAAAAUGUGGAAAUAUGAGGGCUAUUUUGUAAAAAGGCCAAAAUAUAUGUAUAUGGAUUGAAUUGAAUUGAAUGAUUUUGUGAAUAAAUGGGUUAAAUUUGAAUUUAUAUAGAUCAAGAUAAACAAAUACCGGAACUUGAUCGGGGGAAACAAAAGUUAGACAGGUAGACAAAAGUAUCCGAGCAAAUACGAGAUAAGUUCGUAUAACUAGAAUCGAAUUUUUAAAUAUUUGUAAUUGUCCAAAAAAAUGAAUUUAUAUAAGUUGAAUGAAUAAUCCACUUGAAAUUUAAAUUAUCGGUAUAUUAUUGUUCAUACGAAUGAAAAUGAAAUGUUACAAAUGCUAUAUACGUUACAUGGAUUUGGUAUGAUAAUAUGCAUUGAAUAUGCAAUUUGAGUAUUUAAAUGUAUGUAUUUAGUUAAAUUGAAUAUGUAUAUAUAUGAUUUGAGAAAUUGAGUUAUUGAUUACUGAAUGCUUAAAUGAUGAAGUUGGAUUAUACCGAGCCCCGUUCGAACUUUAGAAAAUUAUCGGAUACGAGUGACCUGUCACUAGGGUUAUCGUUUGGUCGAGCUCCAGCAUUUGUUGCGGACUCAACACAGCUCGUAUGAGCUUACCAUUUUAGCUCUACGGAGCUUACCGUUCAGCUCGAUAGAGCUUAUCGUUUACCGGCUCAAGAGGAGCAUACCCAUCGUGGCUCGAAAGAGCGUAAAUGAUGACGAAUUGAUGGAUUUUCGAUCUAUACACUUAGUGUGUAUCACCCGAGUAUCCCUCGAUAUUUCCGUAGGUUCAAUGGGUAUUAUACCAAUAUGUGUUGUAAAGAUUAUAUAAUAUAAAAGUUAUAUGAUUUACAUGGUUUAUAAGUUACAUAAAAUACAUGAUUUACAUGGUUUAUAAGUUAUAUGAAAUACAUGAUUUACAUGGUUUAUAAGCUACAUGAAAUACAUGAUUUACAUGGAUUAUUUGUUAUAUGAAUUUAUGAAUUAUAGGGAUGAUAUGAUACAUUUAGCUAUAUGACUUGGAUUGAUUUUAUGAUAUAUGAUUUAUAUGAAUUGAGGAAUGAAUUUGGAUGUUAAAAGAAUGUUAUAUGUUUGGUUUCAUCUUUAUGAAUGAAUGAAUAUAUGGAUGUGAAAUGACUAACUUGUGAGUAGUGAUGUGAAUAGGCUUUGUGGACAAAUGAGUUGGUUUUCAUUUCUUUAAUGCUUAAUGUUAAAUUGGUAAGUUUAAUUCUAUAUUAUACGGGCUUACUAAGCUUAAUGCUUACUUUGUUUAUUUUCUUAUGUCCUAUAGAUUUCGGAAGCUAGCUCGAUUUCAGACGAGUUCGGAGAUUUGCUAUCACACUAUCUUGACGAUAUUUGGUACUUUUAGAUCUUAUGUAAAUAAUAUAAAUGUGGCAUGUAUAAGCUAAUUUAUGGAUUGAAUGAUAUGGUCACUUAUGUUGGUGAAUGUGGUAUGAAUUUUGGGGUUUGAUCAAGCUAUGUGAUAUGGCUUGAGUUGGUAAUGUUUGGUUUAGUAUGGAAGCAUUAUGUGUUAUACUCAUUUUACGAUAAAUUUGAUAAAUGGUAUUUUGGCAUAAAUGAGGUAUGAUUAGGGAUAUGUUGGUAUGAACGGUGAUAUGUGAUUGAAUUAUAAAGGGAUAUUUUGAGGCAUAUAUGUGACCAACCAAAAUGGUCAUUUUGGUAUGUGUUUACUUGUGAAUUUGGUAAGAUUUUGAUAUGGUUUAACAAGGUUUUGGUAUGUUUUAUAAUGUAUUGAAAUGAGAUAUGAACAUAUGUUUGGAAAUGAAAUUGAUAUAUGAAAUUGACAUUGAAUUUGGUAUGUUUGAGAUUGUAUUUAACAAAUGUUCAAUGUUUUACUGUUCCGAACUGAAUUAAAGGUCCUAUAAUACCUCUUACCUGUUUCGGUGACGGUUACGGGAUAAGGGUGUUACAUUUAAUUGGUAACAGAGUUACAGUUUAGUCGAUUUUAGGACUACCGUAGUGCAUACGAGUCGAGCUAUACAUGCCAUAUUUAAACUGUGAUAGUGUGAUAUCUCCUGACAGCUUCUGAAUUAUGUUUUAUAUAGUAAAUGGAUCCAAAUCGAGCAAUAACUGACGAUGUAGAAAGUAACGCUCCAGUUUCUAUUCAAGGAACAACGCCUUCCAAAUCGAGCCCUGCUACAGGCGGUCAAAGAGAAGCUAAACAAGCUUUCUUCCAAAUGAUAUCUGAAUGGUUUUCUGAAUUUGUUCGAGAAAACCCGGUUGCUCAACAACCUCCACCCCUUCCGGUUCCCCAAUCAAACCCUAAAAAUAUAUGAGGUACGAAUCAUUUACGAUUGAAUAGACCUCCUGUUGAUAAGAAACAGAAAUACGGGGCAGAAGAAUUCAGAGCUUCAGCUAGUGAUGAUGCUGAGAGGGUCGAAUUUUGGCUUGAAAAUACGAUCAGAGUUUUCGAUGAAUUAGCCUAUACACCGAAAGAAUGCUUGAAAUGUGUUAUUUCAUUGUUGAGAGAUGCAGCAUACCAAUGGUGGAAUACUCUAAUAUCUGUUGUUCAGCGAGAAAGAGUUAUAUGAGAAUUUUUUCAGACUGAAUUUUGAAAGAAAUAUAUUAGUUAACGGUUCAUCGACCAGAAAAGAAAAGAAUUUCUUGAUCUGAAACAGGGCCGUAUGACGGUAACUGAAUAUGAAAGAGAAUUCGUACGACUCAGCAAAUAUGCUCGUGAAUGCAUUUCUACUGAAGCUAUCAUGUGUAAAAGGUUCGAUGAUGGGCCGAAUGAAGAUAUUCAAUUGUUAGUUGGAAUUCUUGAGCUAAAAGAGUUCGUUGUCCUGGUUGAUAGGGCUUGUAAAGCCGAAGAACUUGCCAAAGAGAACGAAAAGCUGAUUUUGAAGCAAGAGAUUCUAGAAAGAGAUUCGAGUGUAAAUCGCAUCAGUCUGGAUCAAAGAAAUCUAAAGACUUCCAUCCCCAUUCCACUGCUUCUGCGGGUAUAUCAAUCAGAGAAAGAGAUGUUCAAUCAUUAAAACUGAUGCCCUGAAUGACAUCCGUUGCUAGUAUGGGUAGCGUGAGAAAUACGGGACCUAAUUGCAAGCAUUGUAACCGAAAGCACUAUGGUGAAUGCCAAUUGAAAAAUGGGGCAUGUUUCAGAUGCGGAUCGUUAGAUCAUUUUUUACGAGACUGUCCGGAGAGAUCUACUGCUGAUAGAGAGCAAUCAAUUAAAGUGAGUAAUACUGUUACCAGGGGUGGACCACCCCGAAAUUUGCUCACUCCCUCUUUUUAUUUCUAUCUUUGUAGAUAACCCACCAGGUUAGGACGCAGACUCGACAUACGGAAGACUCGGCCUGGUUUUUUUUUAAGAAGUAUUUUGAAUUUAUUAUUUGAAAUUUCUAUUAUUUUAGGAACUGCAUCACUUAAUCUAAACUGUGGUAUGGGACUUAGGUUUUGAUUUUAUAUAACAUGCGUGACAUAUAAUUUAUUUUUCUUAAAAGUUGAAAUAUGGAUUUUAAUUAAUUAUGCAUGAAAUAUAGAUUUUAUUAAAACUAAUAAAAUAUCACUUUUUGCAUACUUAUGAAUUAAAAAUUAACUAAAAUUUUCUUUUAGAGAUAACGAAAAUUUAAAUAUGAAUGUUUUGUAAAACUUUGAUCAUACUAGGUCAUUUCGGUGGCCGGUGUAAUAUCCUGAAUGGGUCUAACGUUUAAGCCAGGUUGAAGAGGUCACAUUUGGUGGUAUCAGAGUCAAGUUUACAAAACUCGGACUGUGCAAAUUUGAAUGAGUCUACAUGCAUAUAUUGAAAAGGGGUAUUUUGGGAAAAUCAUGCCAUAAGUUUUUGAAAAAUUAAUUUUCUGAAGGAAAUUAAAUCUGAAACUUUGAUGCCGGUCCUACUAUAGUUAUUGUUUCUUUUGAGACUUUAGAUGAACUGAAAUCUUUAGACUGCAGAUAUACUUUAGCAAAUGCUUGAACUUUUAUGCGAAAACUGUAUAUAUACUUUAGAUCUUAAAUUUUUGAGAAUAUAACGAACACUCAAGGUAGACGUGGUAGGGGUAGGCCGUGUAAAGCUACACUUGUAGAGCCGCCCACUAUUCAGAAGGAAAACCCAAUCCUCGAGGAGGAAUAUAAAAAUGAAAAAAAUGUUUGGAGAUUGUUUGUGAGAAUUUGUUUUAUAUAUGCAAAUUUGUGGGAUAUUCAAGAUGGUUUAGAGAUUGCAUGAUAUAAUAUAUGUCAAUAAUGACAGUAGGAAUGAUUGCAAAGCAAUAAGAAAGAAAAAUAAGAACACACAGGUUUUUACGUGAAAAACCCUUUUCGGAAAAAACCUCGGCAGAUGAGGAGAAAUUCACUAAUGUUGAAAAACCACAAUAUACAAGAUUUUUGACGACACACGUUUUAAGGGUUAAACAACCCUGUUAUAAUUAAUGUCUAAUAGAAGAUGUAUAGUCCUAUACAAAUUCAACUUGUGUGGCAUGGUCCGUACUUCGCCCCCACAGAUCUUCUAUUUUGCCUCUCUAUUUUAUUCUUUUAACAAGUGAGUUGCACCUCAAACUUUUCAGAUUAGAUCAAAUGAGAUUCGGGUCACCCAACUCUAACAUUGCACUUGAUAGAGGACUUGACAAAUUGAUUAUUUUAUCAAACAAUCAAGAAGCGGUACAAGCUUUACAGGGCAGUACUACAGAAGUGUCGAAUUCCGCAUUGGUUAAAAGAAUAAAAAAUGUUAUUGGCUAAAAUGGUGCAUUGGUCGAUUCAUUAUUUUUCUAUAAAUUAUAAUAAAGUGGCUGAUAGUCUAACUAAAAUGUCUGUUAGUAAUAUUGAUGGUAUCCAGCUAUUCGAAACGCCUCUAAAGAAUCUUGGAUGUAAGUAGUUCCUUGUAAUGUUUUUUAUUAGAAAAAAUGGAGAGGAGAAAUAUAAAAAUGAAAAAAAAUGUUAGGAAAUGAGUGAAUGAGGUCACUUUCAUGUUGAGGAUGAACGUGGAUGCAUUCUUUUGCAUACAAUAUAGCAUGUGUUUCCCUUAUACUCUCAUUUCCAUUUAACCACAUUUUCCAGAGUUUUCAUAUAAUCGGGACCGACUAUUUUAUUUUUCAUUAUUACAUAUAUGAAAUAAUUUUUAUCUAAUUUAUCAUAUAUUUAUUAUUUAUUUUGACUGAAGAAAAAAAAAUCAUAUUUGUUUUAUUUAUAUAGUUUUCCUAUUUUUAUAUUAAAAUGUAAUAAUUCCAUUAGAUUAUAACACAUCCAGUGAACAAAUCAUGUAAUAAAAAGUUUACAUAAUUAAUAAUUUUAAGUUUUAGUUAAAAUAAUAAUAUUUAAAUAUUUAAAGCCUUAAAUGUUUUCAAGUUUAAAUUUUAAUUUGUGUAUAUUUUUUUAUAAAAGAUAUAAAAUGAUAAAAAUAUUUUUAAAAUAAUAUAAUUUACAUUAUAAAAUAAACAUAUUUUCGUCAUUAGUCAAGUGCUUAAUAUACAUGAAUAGAUUUCGUUCAUCCAAUUCCUCGAAAAAAGAAAAGUAGAAAUAAAAAAUAAACAGUAAUCUAUUAAUAGCAUAUUCCUCUUUCAUCCAAAUCCAGUGGUUCUGGAACUUGACGGUAAUCGGUAUCGUGAUGUGUGAAUUUUUUUUUUGGGAGGAUUAUUUUAUUAAUAAAACUAUUAGUGAAUUAAAAUAUUUGGUUUUAGAAAUUUAGUCCUUUUAUUUUAAAAUUUUGUUUAAAUUUUUGUAUAUUUUGAAAUUAAAAAAUAUUACUUGGUAGUAAUAUACAUGAAUCUAAAUAAUAUUAACAAUUAGGUUUGUAUUUUUAAAUUUAAAAAUAUACAAUAACUAAAUUCUUAAAAGUAAAUUCAAAUUUAUGAAAAAACCACAGGGACUCGAACCAUAUUUUAACCAAAUUAGUAUUACCAAACCGCAAGGGUCAAAAUGAAAAAUAAAAAAAAUGGAGUGGGAUAAGGUACUGAAGAUGGCAUCCGAUGCUUUAUAUUUGGUGAGAGGCUGGGAACAAAGAAAUAAUGAAUGGCACUUGUUUGGUAAUGCGACAAUAAUCUAUCAAAUCUUCCUGGUUUAGGGCCCUUUUCUCAGAACUUGCCUUUUGUGUGGAUCUUAAGUUAUUGCCAAAUAUUUUAUAUUUAAGGCUUUCAACUUUUUUCAAGGUGCAAUGUGGUAAUUUUUAAAAGUAAAUGUUCGAGUUGAUACACGUACUCCAAAGUUUUAGCGUCAUUGGUACACCUUGUUAUAUGAUUAAUUUUGAAUUUUGAAUAUGAUAUCUUCAUUUUUAAGCGAUAAACGAAAUUAGGAAGAAACUUAAGUCAACCUAUAAUAAUUUUAAACUUUUGGCACACUAAUAUAUAGCAAAACAAUAUAGGUACCAAGUUCCAUAUUUUCUUUGUAUAUGUAUCAUAUUACAUAUCUGAUGAAAGUUCAAAAAUUAACUGUGGAUGUUCAACUGUAUGUUCCUUGUGUAGCAUUUGUUGUAUGUUCGUUUUUAGUGGCAUUUGAGUGUUUGAGUGUUUAUUUUUCAUGGAAGAGGCAUUAGUAGAUCUUCGGUUAACGGAGAAAGGAGACAAUAGGGAGAUAGAAGUUUGGGAGUUUGAACAAGAUGAGGCGGCGGGAGAACUUUUUUCAGAUCUGUGUUUGGUAGGUUGCUUUCUAAUAGCAACUACAAUCAACUUUCAGUCUAUGAGGACUAUGAUGGCUAGUCUGUGGCACCCUUUAGGGGGAAUCUCCAUUACGGAUGUGGGGGAGAAAAGGUUCGUCUUCUAAUUUUACUGUGAAAUAGAUUUCGACAGGGUGGUGAAGGGUGCUCCCUAGACCUUUAACAAUCAUUUACUUGUCUUUCAUCACUUAAAGCAAGAUGAAGAUCCCCUGGAAAUGGAUUUGUUAUAUACAGAAUUUUGGGUUCAAAUUCACAAUUUGCCACUUGGGAUGUUUACGGAAGCAAUAGCUAAACAAUUUGGUGAUUUCAUUAGAGCUUUCAUGGAUUAUGAUGUCAAAGCUAUUGCGGCGGGAUUAAGAAACUACAUGCGGAUCAGAGUUAAAACCGAUAUCCGGGAAUCUUUGAAGCGGAAAAAAGAAACUUAUAGUGGCAAAAAAGAGGUUUUCACCAUCUUCAAAUAUGAAGGGCUGACAAUGUUCUACUUUUUGUGUGGCAAGCUUAGACAUAGUGAAACUUGCUGCCCUAAAAGAAUGGUGGCAGGAAGGAAAGAGCUUCCCCUUGGAUGAGAUAUCUCACUCAAAGCUCCUCCACGGAGGGCAAUGACGGAAAGUAAUUUUUGGUUAAGGGAACCUACAGAAUUUUGGGGAGGGAAUCAGGAACUUCUAGAAAUAAGGGUGGUAAAGGAGAAAAAAUAUGGCUGAAUUAAACCUAAUGAGGAAUAAUUGAGCAAAUUUGGGGCUAAAUUUGUAUGAGAAAUGAAAACAGAUUAUGAUUGAGGAGGAUAGUAAGAUGGAGUCGAUGGAGAUUGGACCUUCUAAAGAAGAUCGGCCCAUUAUUGUAGGAGAUGGGAAAAAGAGGCCUAGGCCCAAUAAUGCUCCAUACGCCUCUCCCAAUGAGGAAUCGAUGUGGAGGACCAGAUUAGGGGAAGAUGAUGACCAAACCAAUUAAAUGGCUAAACCUGCUAGGCAGGUCAGCCGAGCAUUAUGAAAAUGUUAAGUUAGAACGUUCGUGGAUGGGGAACCCACGAUCUGUUCGGAGAAUUUAGAAUGUGCUGAAAAAAUAUCAUCCUCAAGUUUUCUUCUUUAUGGAGACUAAAGUGGCGAGGUCGAGAAUGGAAAGAAUAAGAAGGAAAUAUGGUUUUGCGAAUGGGGUUGAUAUUUCGGCCCAAGGGUUACGAUGGGGUCUUUCUUUGAGUUAGUGUAGUUCGGUGAAUGUUAUUAUUACGAGCUUUUCAUAGAAUCACAUUGAUGCAAUUUGUUGAUAAUAGUGAUGGAACCACAAAAUAGAGAUUAACGGGGUUCUACGGUAUACCAGAUUGUCGAAGAAUGACUGAAUCUUAGGAUAUGUUGAAAUGGCUAGGGAUGAAUAAUGAAUUGCCUUGGGUAGUUAUCGGGAACUUUAAUGAGAUUUUAUUUAGCUACGAAAAAUAAGGAGGUUGCUUGAGGGAAGCGAGGCAGAUGGAGGUUUUCAGGUCAACUUUGGAAGUAUGUGAGCUGAUAGAUAUGAGGUACAGUGGUCGUUGGUACACUUGGGAAUGAGGGAAUUUUGAGGCAAAUAAUAUUAAAGAGCAGCUUGAUAGGGGAGUGGCGAAUCUGGCUUGAUCUAAGAAGUUUCCAUCUUACAAGUUCAUUCACAUUGACAACACCAUUUCUGAUCAUUGCCCUUUACUUCUAGAUACAGAUUUCUCGACAAAUCCAGGUAAUUUUUCUAAUUCAGGGUGCCUAUUUUAUUAUGAAACUACUUGGCUAUUAGAAGACUCUUGUCAUGAGCAAGUCAAAUUUCUGUGGGAAUCUAACAAAAAUGUGUCAGUGCCUGAAAGGUUAACAAUGGUAGGCUGAGGGUCUAUGAAGGUGGGUAAGCCAGUUGAAGAAGGAGAGGGUGCGAUUAUGAAGGAGUUAACAGGGCGUCUGAAUAAGUUGACUGAGCAAGAUCCAUCAGAUGACAUAAUCGAAGCUAUGAUUAAUACUAAACUAGAGCUGAAUUUAGAGAUUGAUAAGGAAGAGCUCUAUUAGGAGCAAAGAGCUAGAACGAAUUGGUUAAGGUAUAGGGAUUGGAAUACUAGCUUCUUCCAUAAUUUUACUUCAAACAGGCAUCGUAAAAACAUGAUUGCUGGGCUGAAGGAAAAAGACAGGUCAAUAAAGGAUAAGGAUGAGGAUUUUAUACGUAUUGCUACUAGUUACUUUAAAGGAUUGUUUUCUAGUGAGGGAAGCAGGGGGAUCAGAAAAUUUUUGAAGGGGUUUAGAAAACGAUAACGGAUGAAAUGAGGAUGUUACAACAUUCUGUCUUGAAGUGCUUAACAGAGAGUUACAGUUGAACGAGGUAAAUUUCAUAACUAUUGUUUUAACUCCUAAGGUUUCAACGCCAGAUUUUAUGAUAGCUUUUCGGCCUAUAAGCCUAUGUACGGUGCUUUACAAGAUUAUAGCGAAAGUUAUCGCUAAUAGAUUUAAGAGGGUGUUGGAUGUUUGUAUUGACGAAGCCCAAUGAGCGUUUGUUCCUGGUUGGCUUAUUACCCAUAAUAUCCUUGUGGCCUAUGAAAUUCUACACACUUUCAAAAAUAGAAGGAAAAGGAAUAAUGACUUUUUUGCUUUAAAGUUAGAUAUGAGUAAAGCGUAUGACAAAGUUGAGUGGGGUUUUAUCACAAGUAUGAUGAGGAGUAUGGGGUUCGAUGAAAGAUGGGUGGAGUUGAUAAACAACUGUAUCUCUUCGGUCUAUUAUACGGUUACGAUCAAUGAAAGAUUGAGUGAGCCUUUCCAACUAGAAUGAGGUCUUAGAGAAGGGGAUCUGUUGAGUCCCUAUUUAUUUCUCAUUUAUACUGAGGGAUUCUCAACAAUCUUUAAACUAGCAAAGAGGGAUGGGCUAAUGCAGGAAGCUCGAGUUUGCAGGGGAGGCCCGAGGGUAACCCAUUUAUUUUUCGCGAAUGAUAGCAUUAUCUUUGGAGAAGCAAAUGAGGAUGGUUGUCUGUUAAUGAAAGGAUUUCUAGAUGACUACGAGAAGACGUCAGGUUAGAAGAUUAAUUUGGAUAAGUCUCAAAUUUUCUUUAGUUCCAACUGUUCUGAAGAGAUUAAAGAUCUUUUGACAAAUUAUAUGGGUGUUAGGGCAGUUACGAGUGUAGAGAAGUAUUUGGGUCUACCUACUAUGGUGGAGAGAAAGAAGAAAGAGGCUUUUCAAAGGCUCUGCGGUAGUUUGAGAAUAAGAGUUAACGGAUGGAGGAGCCGGAUGCUUUCUCAAGGGGGUAAAAAAGUUUUCAUCAAAGCUGUGUUACAGGCUAUACUGAUUUAUUCCAUGUUUUGUUUUCUUCUUCCAAAGUCAUUAUGUGCUUACAUGGAAAAAAUCUUGAAUCGAUUUUGGUGGGGUAAAGGAAGUAAUCGGCGUGGGUUGCACUGGGGUUGUUGGACCGAUUUAUGCCAGGCUAAAGAGAAUGAUGGCUUAAACUUCCGCGAUAUGGGGAAAUUUAACAUUGAUUUGUUAGCUAAACAAGGAUGGCGAUUAGUUACUAAUCCGGAUUCGUUGUUAGCUAGAAUUUAUAAAGCAAAAUACUACCAUCGGUCAAGUUUUGGGAAGCAAGACUUGGGACUUACGCUUCGUAUACUUGGAAAAGUAUAUAUACAGUACCGGGAUUGUUAGAGCAACGAAUGGGCUGGAGAGUAGGUACAGGAGAGUAUCUCGAUCUGGCAUGAUCGUUGGCUGCCGCAAAGGGCUAGAAACAAGGUCAAUACACGUCCCAUUAAUAAUUUGGUCUAAACAGUGGAUCAGUUAAUCAACAAAGAAAAAUAAAUGUGGAAACAAGAGAUAAUUACUAGUAUUUUUUCUGUUGAAGAUGCGGAGGCGAUCAAAUGUAUUCCCUUAUCUAAAAAUGAAUGUACAGACUGUUAGGUGUAGCGUGGGGAGAAAACAGGUCAAUAUACAGUUCGUAGUGGCUACAAAGAGCUUAUGACCCGAAAUGAUAAUACUGAAAUCCCAGAUAACAUACAAAUGAUUUAUAAAAAAUAUGGUCUUUUUCUAUACCUUCUAAGAUUAAGCUAACGAUGUGGAGAGCGUUACGAGAUUUCAUUCCAACAGGCUAGUAACUCUUUAACAAGAGGGUUAGAAAUACUACAAGUGGUCCUCGUUGUAAUGCUGAAUCAGAGACGUUUCUACACGUGAUUGCAGAUUGUAACCAAGUCAAAAACAUCUGGGAAGCAAUAGGUAUUUUUUAGUCUAAUAAUAUGAAUUUAGAGACUUUUUGGGAUUGAACUAUUCACCUGGUCUAUGGCAGAGCAGAGAGGUUCUUGGAAAAGGUUGUCAUAGCGGUUUGGGCAAUCUGUUGGGCACGUAAUAGACAAGUUAUGGAAGGUAAAUUAGUAAUAAGGCAAGAGACUACGACAAAAAUUAUAAGUACGCUUGCUGAAAUUGAGGUGUUAAAGGAGAAAUUACCUGUUGUAAGGGAGGUGGACAUAGACCGAUGGAAACCCUCACAAGCAUCGUGGGUGAUAUUAAACUUUGAUGCAGCCUACAAAAUCCAAACAAAAAAGUCAUGCUCUGGAUUUAGCAUUAGAAAUAAAAAAAGGGGAAGUAAUGGGUAGUGGAGUUACCCUUUAUACCAAUAUCUUAUAUGCGUUUUUGGCAGGAGCUACAGCCUAUUACCAAUGGCUCAUUUUGGCUAAAGAAAUGGGGUUUGUAAAAAUGGAGGUUGAGGGGGACUCUCAGACGACAAUCGAGAAAAUCAAUUAGGAUGGAAAUAGUAGAGCUGAUCUGGACUCAAUUAUAGCAGAUAUCAAAGCCAUUGGAAGGUCUUUCCAUCAGAUUAAAUUUAAACAUGUUAGAAGGGAAGCUAAUCGAGUGGCACAUUUCAUCGCUAGGGAGGGGCACAGUAGAUCAGAAAAUACCUUUUGGAUGGAAGACACUCCAGUGGUGGUGAGAGAGAUGGUGGCUGCAGAGGAGAUGAGAAAUAUUCCCCAAACGACUGAAUGAUUUGCUUAGGGACGAUUGGACUGGCCUAAUGGUUUUAUUGGCGGCCAUGCUUCAGUCACCUGAGAAGUUUUGAUGGUAGUCUAGAGCUUUCUGUUUUUCUACCGGGUUUCCAUUUUAUUUUUGUUGUUUCAGAUGUCUUUUGGUUUUUUUAACUGUUUAUUAUUGGUUCUUUUUCUUUGGUUUUUUAAUGGAGAUCACGGUUUUAUCAAAAAAAAAAUCAACUGUGGAUAAAAGUACUAUGGAUACCCUUAUAUUAAAGGUAGACAUGUAUUUUGCUUUCUCUACUUAAAAAAUGAGUAAAUUAAUUUUUGUACGUUAUAUUAAAGAGCAAAUUGGUCAUUUUGUUUCAAAAUUUCAUCCAUUUCUACUGUUCAAAUGGUUAAUGUAUGUAAAUAUAAAAUACACGUGCCAUACCCUGUAUAACUGUCUGGUUAUAAUUCUACCAGCCUCUUCAGAUUUUAAUAGUAAAAAUGAAUGAAAAUUUUAAUUAAAUUAACAAAUUACUUUUUAAUUUAAUGUACAAAAAUUAAUUAAUUUAUUUUAAAUAAAUUUAACUCUUAAUACAAAAAUAGGGUUUUUUUUAUUGAAAUAAUACCAAAAAUUAAAAAAAAAAUACCAAAAUAAUAUCACUUUUUUUAUUUACCAAAAUGGUACAAAAAAACAUAACAGUUAAAAAAAAAAGCUGAAGGGUUAAGUGACAGACCCUAGUAGAGGGCCUGCCACAGGCGGCACUAGAGGUGCCAGUGCCAGAGGCAACACCAGCCCCUUAUAAUGGUCUCCCCACAUUCGGCUGAAGGAGAAGAAAGAAAGAGAAGAAAGAAAAAAGAAAGAAAAGGAAAGGAGAAGAAAAAAAAAUAAAGAAAAGGAAAGGAGAAUAAAGGAAAGGAAAGGAGAAGAAGAAAAAGAAGGAGAAAGAGGCGCAGGAAAAAGAGAAAGAGAAGGAGAAGAAGAAAAUGGAGGGAAGGAAAGAAAAAAAAAGGGGAAGGUAAUUUUUUUUUGUGUUAUUUUAAUUUUUUGUAUUAUUUGUGUAAAAACCAAUGUUAUGUACAUGAUAUGUUUUAUUAUUUUAUUUAGCAUAUAUUUUUUAUGAAAUUUAUUUAGCAUGUAAAAAACUCAUGUUAUGUACAUUCUAUGUUGAUUAGAUAUAUUUUUUAUGAAAUUUAUUUAGCAUGUUAUAAUGAGUUUUUUUACAAAAAAUAGCAUUAAAAAUAAAAUAUUGAAAAAAUAAAAUACGAAAAUAAAUAAAAAAACAAAAAUAGUAUAUUUAUUGAAAGAAAUAAAAUUCGAAAAUAAGAAAAAUACGAACAAAGGGCCAAAAUAAGGGUUUUUUACUAAAUUUAAAAAAAAAACACACUAAAUUAAUACAUUUCAAACAUAAUGUAGUAAGAUAAUAUAAAAUAAUAAAAUACGAAAAUAGUAUAUUUUUUUAAAGUAAUAAAAUUCAGGAAAAAAGAAAAUACGAACAAAGGGCCAAAAUAAGGUUAUUUUUACUAAAUUUAUAUAAAAAACACACUAAAUUAAUAAAUUUCAAACAUAAUGUACUAAAAUAAUAUAAAAUAAUAAAAUACAAAAAUAGUAUAUUUUUUAAAAGUAAUAAAAUUCGAGAAAAAAGAAAAAUACAAAAAGGGCCAAAAUAAGGGUUUUUUUACUAAAUUUAUUUAAAAUACACACUAAAUUAAUACAUUUCAAACAUAAUGUACUAAAAUAAUAUAAAAUAAUAAAAUACGAAAAUAAUAUAUUUUUUGAAAGUAAUAAAAUCCGGGAAAAAAUGAAAAAUACGAAUAAAUGGUCAAAAUAAGGGGUUUUUACUAUAUUUGUUUUGAAGUUGCAAGUAUCGCAAUGGCUCGAUUGAUUAACGGCGACCCUCACAUAUCUGAUGCGACUAAUAAUAUGAUAAUAUAUUAUUAUUUGUUAAUCACGAGUUCUAUUAAAAAAGGAUAUACAUAAUAUAUAGAAAUAAAUCAUGUUAUCCUAAUAUUUAUUUUCUGUAAUUUAACACUAUCAGGGCUCAUACCGCAUAUUAAGGGGCCGGGUGAAUGGUAUAGGAUAUCCCCCAGAUGAACGAUUAAUGCCCUACUUGGAGCAAGCUGGAUUCGGGUCAACAGCAUUGAUCCGGACGUUCGACUUGCAAUACGAUUUAAUAUCUGCACUAGUGAAGCGGUGGCGCCCGGAGACUCACAUUUUUAAUUUUCCAUGUGGGGAGUGCACAGUGACUUUAGAGGAUGUUGCACUGCAGCUUGGGCUCCUAAUCGACGGGAGUCCCAUAACGGGAGUAAGUGCAUUUGCUGAGCCAGCUGCACUGUGUUAUAGCCUACUGGGAGACUCGCCCAACGAUGAUGAGUCAAAUUUUUCAGGCUUGAAAUUUAAAUGGCUGAAAGGAAAAUUUGGACACUUAUCAGCUAAUGCCACUGAAAGAGAGUUGAUGUGCGCUGCUCGAGCGUACAUCAUGCAUAUUAUAGGGGGAGUACUGAUGCCCGAUUCAAACAACAACAAUGUUCAUAUCAUGUACUUACCUCUAUUAGCUGAUUUGAGUAAUGUUCACUCGUAUAGCUGGGGCUUCGCAGUUCUGGCAGUGUUGUAUCGGGAGCUUUGUCAGACAACAAAGCCUGCCAUCGUAGACAUGGGCAGAUGCCUUACAUUGUUGCAGUCCUGGGCACUUUAUCAGAUGUCAUUCUUGGCAUCAGUUACUCACCAACCAUAUAUAUCCACUAGUUAAUAGGUGAUAAAAUAUAACUUGUCAUUAAUUGCCAGGAUACUAUAUUGACUGAUGUUACCAACCCUACUAUAUUUGUUUUUUUAGAUGGAGUAUUUAUCCGGGUAUCGGGAGGUCGUACACUGUCCCGAUAUACUGUCUGAUGAUCGAACAGCAUGCCAGGAAAGGGGUAAGCUAUUCUAGUAUUCGUGACAUGUUACUUUCUAUAUCUUACUCAAACCGUGCUAAAUUAUAACCAUGUUAUUAAUCAUGCAGUUUAUAUGGAUGUCAUGUCGUAAACCGGAAAUUACAGCUAAUAUACUCUCGUCUGCGUACGUUCAUUCUCAUAUGUGGUGCACUAAUGCACCAGUUAUAAAUUUCAAUGUAGUCGAGUGGUACCAUGGGAAUCGAGUGCUACGACAGCUUGGUUACGUACAAUAUAUCCCGGAUCCGCCAUGCAAUGUGGGGGUGGUUCACGACAUCAACAAAAGAGGAAAACUGCAGUUGAAUUCGGAGGUUAAACAUCGAAGAUUUGUUGCGCUGUGAAAUAAUCGAAUGGCUCGAAUACCUUAGAUGGUUAUGGCUUCCGAUUUGCAACCAUCAGUAGAGUAUUUACAAUGGUACUUUAGUUUGGGAAAACCAUAUCUACUUGGAGGGCAGUUGACUGUAGUCCCCCCGCACAUGCAACGACUUGGGGCAUACAAGCCAGUGGGUGAUAUGGAGGCGGAGCCAGCGGCAGAUCCUGAUCCCGAGCCAGAGCCCAAGCCAGAUCCCGAGCAAUAUUUUUCGAGCUUGUCAAGGGACAAAUACCAUGAUGAGUUUGAUAUCUUUGGAUCGUAUCCAUCGCAGUACAGUACUCUCGGCCUGUAUCCACAACAUCAUGGCACUCCUUCCGGUUCAAGUUCAUCGAUGCUGUUCGAGCCACAUGAUUUUUAUUUCAUGUUUAGCACACCUUCACCUGCGCCUAAUGAUGAUAUUGGUCGUCACAAUCACCCACAACGUGAACGUCGGCUUCCACAUACGUAUACCCUUAGGACCACACCAUCGAACCAUCAAUUUUAGGGGAAGAUUUUCUUUUUUGUACAUUACAAAGUUUGUACUUUUUGUAUAAAUUUAAUUAUUCUAAUUUUAGGUAUGAUUAGAACGGAACUUUUCUUCCUUUUUUGCAUUAUAUUAAAGCUGAAUUUAAGGUUAAAUAGCUCCAUUUUGGAUAUAAUCGAAAUUAUUUCAAAUGAAUUAUACUUUUUCCAACUUAAUUUGGAAACCAUAUAAAUAAUUAUACUUUUUACAACUUAAUUUGGAAACCAUAUAAAUAAUUAUACAUUUUUUCAUUAUAUUAAAGCUGAAUUUAAGUAUAAGCAUAAGCAUAAGCUGAAUAUAAGUUAAGGGGUGUUUCAAUAACAUAAAACAUUACAACAUUACACAUAACAAAUUUACAGCAUAAGCUCAAUUCCGACCCGAUCGUGACGAUUGUCCAACAUGAUAGUUUUCCUGCGGGCAUUUAUUCCGAUUAUGACCAAUUAACCUGCACAAUCCACAACGCUUACCGUCAGAUUUCUCCAUAAUGUCCAUUUCAUUAUGGAUUCUGGAUGCUUGCGGAUGACCUCUUGGAUUCCUGCAUACCCCUCUAUCUGGGACAAUCUCGAAAAUCGUAGGAGGCACCUCCCACGUAGACAAGUCAGGCAGGACGGGGAACUCAUUUUUCUAGACACACAAUGUACGCUUGAGCGUGUACAUAUCAUCGACAAAUUGUUCAACAUUAAGGUUCACUUUAGCACACGUUGCCAUGACAUGUGCACAUAGAUAAUGAAGUGUUUCGAACCUCCUGCAGUCGCAUUGUCUGUUCCGGAGAUCAACUCUAUAGGACCUAGGUGGUAUACCGGGUCGACGACCGAUUGUCUCAGUAACUCGAAAUGUUUUCAGACGUCGUGAAUAUAUUUCUACAUUCAUCGAUCUUGCCAUUCGAUGGUUUGCAACCAUUACAUCCCUAACAUCUUUGACAAACAUGUGUCCUGCCUCCAUCUGGUCGACUUGUUGCUGACUCAUUCUUGGCAUCAAGGUAGCCAACCUAUAGAAUGUAGCCGAGAAGACAGAUGCAAUCGGAAGAUGUCGUGUUUUCAACAAUACAUCGUUGACCCCCUCCACUAAGUUUGUGGUCAUUUGACCAUAACGAAAGCCCUCGUCAAAACUUUGAGCCCAUUGCCACGGCUCCAUUGUACCCAACCACUGUCGAAAAUAUGUGUUUGUUUGACCCUCCACGUCACUCUCAAGUCGAAUCAUUCUUUGGUGGAAAAUAUGUGGCUCUAACUCGUACACUGUAUAAGUAUUAAGAAAAUAUAAGUUCCAAUAACUCGAUAACAUAAAACAUUACAACUUAUAUUGAAAAGAUAAUGCUAUCAUUUACCCAUUGCCACUACUUGUCUUUUCCAGUCUGUAUUCUUAUAAUCUCAAUGAAAGUUAGCCGCAAAGUGACGGAUGCAAUAAACAGAUCUCUAUGGCACAUCGGAACACUUAAUUGCCGCAAUUAAACCUUUCCCUCUAUCGGAGAUGAUGUAAAUAUUAUCGUUGCUAAUAACACACCUCCGCAUAUUGGUAAUGAAGAAUUUUUAAGAUUUCAAGUUCUCUUUAUCUAAGAUGACAAAUGCUAUCGGGAGCACGUUUCUAUUGUCGUCUUGAGCAAUCGCAAGAAGUAGGAUCUGUGUAUAUUUUCCAUAUAGCCAGGUCCCAUCCACCAGCACAAAUGGCUUGCAGUAGGGAAAGGCUCGCACACAUGGAUCAAACGUCCAGAACAUCCGAUAGAAAAUUCUUUUUCCCGAUUGUAAUUGGUCGUCCGGACCGUAAUAAGGUCUUGUCUGUAACUCAAUCACAGUUUUCGGUAUGUACUCCCGCAUAGCAGCUAUCCAUUAUUGUAGCUCGUUAUACGACGAAUCAUAAUCCCUAUACAAUUGCUCCAUUGCCAUCUAUUUAGCUAUCCACGCCUUUCGAUACGAUACUCGAUACUGGAAUCGUGCUUGCAUUUCGGCAAUUAGUACCGAAACUUUAAUGGCCAUCAUAUCCUUCACCAUUGGCAUGAUACACGUACAAAUAAUUUUUGAAUAAAGUUUUCGAUGAUCUUCUGUCAUACGUGUUGAUGUACAUGUAUGAGGCCCAACAAAUUUUCGUAUCUCCAACAUCUGCGAAUUUUGAAUGAAUACAGCUUGUACCCGUCAAUUGCAGCCUUCCGCUGUCUUCUAACACUCUCUAAUAUAUAUUAUUGGUUUAGACACUGCGACUUUAUAAUCUAUUGAUAUGUUCAUGCUAUACCGUUUAAUAUUAAAUACGCACUCUUCUUUACUUUUAAAUCUCUGGCCUACGAAUAACUCCUCAUUAUCAGAAUUUACGGCCAGUCGGUGAGCAAAAACUAUUUCAGGGUACUCCAGGAACUCAGCUACAUGCACUGCAUUAGGGUUUAUGAGCAACAUGUGUGGCCCAGGAUUAUUGUGUAUCAAAAUACGUCGCAUCUGGUUCCCGACCGAAGACGCAUUAAUAUUUCCAUCGUUAUUCACAUCUUCAUCGUCAAUAUCAUCAGGUACAUCAUCCAUAUCGGGAUCACUGUCACUAUCAACCUCUUGAUCAUAAUGAUCGCCACUAUAAUAUCCAUCAUCACCAACCACAUCAAUAUCGAGUGUAAUAUUAAGAUCGAUACCGAUCUCACCUAUAGUUGAUUAAUUAUCAACGUACGAUAUUGGAGCCACCAUGCACGGUUCUUGAGCUCCGUGUUCUUCACCAUAUGCAUUGACAUCUUCAUUUUGCUCCACACCGGCUAACUCAGCAAAUAAGUGAAUCGGUGCAUUUUUGUCACUCUUAUUCCUACAGUAAAGAGCGAUCAUUGUCUCUACGUCUUCGUCGUCUACAAGUUCCAUUUCGGUGAAUUUGAUCGGAUUUGUCGAAACUGGAAACUUGUAGAAAAUUUUUGAUAUUCUUCUCCCACAAUGUCUAACAAUUUUUGCAUUAAUCCUUCCCUUUAUAUCAUCCAACGAGACAUUUCUAUUAAAUCUCAUUGCUAUUUGUUGCCGGCAUUCAAAUAUACAUCCAACAGUUGUUGUCAAGAUGAUUCCAUCGAAAUAAACGCAUACAAAAAACUUAUCAUCCAUCUUCAAUAUUCAAUCUGUAAAAAAAUAAACAAAAUUUUAAAAAAUAUUUUGAACAGUAAAUAAAUUACUUAAAUAAAAAAAUUAAUGUUUCAAUAUGCAAUUUUUUCAUUCAUAAGCUCAUACUAUUUCAGUUAUCAUUUUGUACAUGAACAACAUUUAAUCACUAAUCCUAAUAACUAACACAAUAAUAAUAGUUUUUUACUAAAAAUAAUAUUAACUAACAAUAAUAAUUAGGGUUUUACUAAAAAUAAUAACUAAUAAUAAUAUAAUGUAAAAACUAACAAUCAUACUAACUAAAAUAAUAAUUACGGUUUUUACUAAUCCUAAUAACUAACCAUACUAAUAAUAUUAAUUUUUUACUAACAAUAAUACUAAGUAACAAUAAUUAUUAAUAACUAAACCCUAAAAACUAACAAUAGUAAACUAACUAAAAUAAUAAUUAGUGUUUUUAUUAAUCCUAAUAACUAACAAUAAUAACUAAACUAAUAACAAAAAAACAAUAAAAAAUAUACGAAAAAACAUAAUAACAAUAUUUUUUUAAAAAAAUACCUUAUUUUUUUAUAUUUUUUUCUUCUCUUUCUUUCUCCUUUCUCUUUUCUCUUUCUCUCUUUUUCUUUUAUUUUCCAGCACAACCCUCUUCUUCUUCUUUUCUUUUUUCUCCUUCAGCUGAAGUGAAUUGGGGGUGAUUAUAAUGGUGCAGUGGUGCCGCCUCUACCACAGGCUCUCCACCAAGCUGUCAUGUUUUUUUUUACCAUUUUCGUAAGUAAAAAAAUUUAUACUAUUUUGAUAUUUUUAAAAUUUUUUGUAUUAUUUCAAUAAAAAACCCAUAAAAGUAUCUAUAAAAUUUUUACCACCGACAUUAACCUUGUAUAUAAUGUUGUGAAUGAUUGACUGAAAAUUUUAAUUACCACUAAAAACAGUGUCUUGGUGUGGGCUCUCCUGCCAUUGAAACUAUCUGCAUUGGGUUCAAUUUUUUUCUCAAUAAUUUUAUUUUGAAUUUUAAAAUUUUUAUUUAAAUUUAAUUUUUUUAAGAUGAAAAAUAUAAUAUUAAAGUAUUAGAUAUGACAUCACUGAAAAUUACGAUUAUGAUUGAUGUUUAGAUCCAUACUUUUUCUAUUUUCUACAAUGAUAAAUAUUAUCUCAAACAGUGGGGAAUGGUCUUCAUAAUGACCAUGCUUUGCCCCACUUCAAUCUUACAAAUAAUAAGACAAAUGAGUACUAGAAACAUCAUUUGUACAUGUCACGUGCCACAUUUGAGGUUCGAAUCUACCACUUUUUUCCUCUUUUUUUUUUUUUUUCUCUUUUUGCCACUUAUUCUAAUAAACCUGCAUAGAUGGCGCCCUCCUUUAUCUGUACAAUUUUAUUAAACACAUAUCUAAAUCUAAAUAUAAAAAUUAAAAUAGUUCAAUAUAUGUUAAAUUACAUCUUUCUCUUUUCGCACUAUUUGUAUUAAUCGAAUUUAUCUUUUUUUUAUAGUUUAGUUUUAAACGUUUUACGAAUUAAAAUUUAAAUAAAUUUUUUUUUCAAUUUUUAAUACUAAUUAUCAAAUUGACUCGGAUUUAAAGUAUGUUCUUGUACUUAUCGAUAAGUACUGAUCGACUAUAUCAAUCAUUAAAUUAUUGCUUGAAAUUUACUGACGGAAAUUUUUUUAAAAAUUUAAUAAUUUAAAUAAAAAUAAAAUUAAUUUAUUAGUUAAAUUAUAACUUUUUAUCAAAUGAUGAAAAUAAAAAUUUAUCCAUUAUUAAUGAAUAAUAAUAAUAAUUUUCCUUGAAUCAAAGAAUUAAAAACAUAGCCUUAGCAUUAAAUUACAAAUGAAGAGGUUGAUGUGAUAUUUCAAAGAAAUCCUACAGUAUGUGUGCGGAGGCAGAGGCUCUUAAAUUGAGAAGAGGCCAGCUUCAUCGUUAAUUCCUAGGUAAGUAGCUGCCAGCUACUACUUUGCUGUUCUGCUCCUGCUGCCAACUAUCUAUCUUCACUUUCUUCUCACUACCUUUCUAUACCAAGGAAGACAGUGCAUUUGGCAGAUUUGAGUAAAAUAUUUUAGUUUUUUAUUUUUUAAAUUUAUUUUUUAAAAUUAUUCUAAAACAAAUGAAAACUUAAUUUUGUUAAUAAAUAUAUUGAAUUGUGAUGUAAAUGAUACAUUAGCAUUUAAUCAAUUUUUAAAAUUUUAAUAUUUUAAAAAAAUAAAAAACAUAAAAAUUAUGUACUUUUUUUUAAAAAAAUUAUUAAAUGGUAAUAUAUCAUUCACGUGUAUAUUAUAUCAAUAAAAUUAAUAAAUUUUAAUUUUAAAUUAGAAAAAAAAAGUAAGGUUAAAAUAAUAUUUUAAAUCAAAAAGAUAAAAGAAUCAUUAAUUUUAUAUGAAAUUCUGCAAAUAGUCAAACCCUUCCUUAUGAAUCUCUAAUUAAAGAAAAACAAUCUAUAAUUGCAAAUUCAAUGUACUUCCUUCUUGUUUGCUGUGUUAGAUAUGUUAACGCAAGUAGCUAAUUGAAAGAUGGUAGAUCCAAAAGCAAAUGGAUUUUGAAUUAUUUGAGUAAUUUUUAUUUAUUAUAAUAGUGUAAAAUAAUAUUUUCAUUUUAUUUGUUGAAAAUAAUUUAAAUAUAUUCUUUAUUUAAAUGUUUAAAUAUUAUGAUAAAUUUUUAAAUUAUAAUUUCAACAUUUUUACCAUUAUAAUUAAUAUAAAAUAAAAAUUAUUUUAUCAUUCAAAAAUGAUAUUAAUAGAUUUUUUUAAUUAUAUAAACUAUACAAAUUGAUAUAUUGUAAAAUCUUUGCUAUUAAUUUUUAGUUUAAUUUUAUUUUCUUAAUAAUCAGGUGGCCAAAACCUUACCCCACCUUUAUAAAAAUCAUUGGGUUGUUAUUUUUUUUGUAAAAGUUUAGCUAACGAGCUUCAAAUUGAUUUAACGACCGAUACAAUUAAUCAAUAUUCAUUAAUGAGUAGAAAAACAUUUAGAUCCAAACCAACCUGACAAUCAGUGUAAUUUUUUAAAAUUGAGUGACCAAAAUAUAAACUUAUAAUUUAAUGACCUCGAGUGUAGUUUACCCUUAAAAAAACCUAACUUUCAUUCAACAUUUUAUUUCAUUUUCAAUUUGUUAUUUAUAAUAUUAUUUAUAAAGGUGUUUUUUAAUUAUAGAGAUAAAUAUCAAAUUUAUCCAUGAACUUUGCUCUAAUGUAAAGUUUAAUAUAUGAACUUUGAUUUGGUGUAAUUGUGCACAUCAAACUUGAAUAGUGAUUCAUUUGUAUACAUAAAACUUUGGAUUUGAUUCAGUUGUACACAUUUAAAAAAAGUUGAACAUAUACAUUUAUUUUCAUUUUGAAUUAAUAUAAUUGUUUGUGUAUACAAUAUAUCAACGUAAAAUGGUGUUAAUUCAAUAAUAUUUGUAGUAAUUUGUGAACAUUUAAUCAAAUUAAAAUUUCAUGUAUAAAAUUGCACAAAAUCAAAGUUCAUGUACGACAUUACAUAUUACAUCUAAGUUCAUGUAUAAUUUUUAUAUUUAUUUCUUAAUUAUAUUGUUAUGAUUUAUUUAAAUUUGUUAUUAAUAAUGUUUUUGUGCAAGUUAUAUUUUUAUUUAUAAUUUAUAAUAUAGGUGAAUAUUUGGUAUUCUGGUAGUGUACUUUUAUUCUUCCUCAAGUAGUCUUAAAAAAUUGACAUUUGUCUUUUUUUUAAAUAAAUAAUUUACUAUAUCUAUAGGACACUUGUCAAUCUCUUGACCCUAUUUGUAAAGUUUAAAAACUCCACUGACAGUUUACCAAAUAAUUUCUUUGUAAUAUUAGGUUUUAAAUUUUAGUAUUUAUAAGGCUAGUUAAAUAAAUUUUAUAUUUAUUCAUAAUAUCUAUUAUUUAAGUAAGUUUUAUUUACGGAUUUGUUUUUUUUAAUUUAUAUGUUAGGUUUUAUUUAUAAAUUACUAAUAAUAUUAUUAAAAUUUUAUAUUUUUUUAAGUUAGUAUUUAUUUUAUCUAUAAUUUAUAUAAAAGCAUGAGUUUGAAAUUUUUUUGAACUAACGAGAAUAUUAAAUUUUUUUAUUAUAUUACUAAAUUCACAUUUUAAAAUAAAAAAGUUAAAGUAAAAUAGAAGUUGUGAUAAUUAUACAUUUAGAAAUAUUUAUAGUUUAUGGGAAUAAAUUAUAUUAAGGUGAUCCUAAAAAGCAUAGUUUUUAGGCACCAAUAAAAUAGUGUCACGUCAUAAAAUUUUAAAGAUAACAAAGUAUUAUUAUUCACUUGUCUAUAUCUAAUAUCUUCUCCAACUUAAUUUAACUUUAAUUAAAUUACUUAAAAUAAUUAAUUUUUUAAAUUAUAAACAAACAUCUUUUCUUUUGCAAAUUUUAAUCAUUCUAUUUUUUUCCAUAAGUUAAUAUUUUUUUUAUUUUUGUGCAACCAUUUUUUUUUUAAAAUAGUAAUUUUUCUGUAUUUUUUUCCAUGUCAUUAACAUAUAAUUUUUGUGAUUAUUUUACCCUAGACCUCAAACUCAAAAUCUCAAAUCUUGAACUUAAACCUUGAACCAUAGGGUUUAGGGUUUGGGAUUUAAGGUUUAAGUUUUGAUUUCUAGUUUUGGGGUUCAAGGUUUAGGUUUAGGGUUAAAGAGUUUGGAAUUUAAGGUUCAAGUUUAAAAUUUAAAUGUUCGAGGUUGUGAGUUACGAGUGUGAGGUUUAAGGUUCAUGUUUGUGGUUGAAAGGCUUUAGUGUUAUGGGUUCGAGUUUAGGGUUCGGGUUUAAUGUUCGGGGUUUAAGGUUUGAGAUUUUAGAUUUAGGGUUUAAUUUUUAAGAUUUUAUAUUUAGAGUUUAAGGUUUAGUAUUUUAGGUUUAAAAUUCAAGGUUACAUAUUCAAGUUUAGGUUUAAAACAUUUAUAUUUCAAGUUUAGGGUUUGUGAUUUUAGGAUUUAAGGUUUAGUGUCAAAAUAUAAAUGUUUAGCGUUUAGGGUUUGAAGGCGUGAGUUUAAUUUUAGGGUUUAGGUUUCAUAAUUUUGAGUCUAGGGUUUGAUAUUUUCAAUUUAGGGUUCAUGGAUAUUAGUUUAUGUUUAAGGUUUGGGUUUCCAUAUUUUGGGUUUUGGGUUUGGGAUUUAAGUUUUAGAAUUCAAGGUUCAUGGGUUUCAUUAUAAAUUCUUAUACAUUCGAAUAAUAAAUUAUGCUAUGCAUUUCUAAACUUGGUCUUCCACUGUCUAUACUAUUAUCUAUAUUUAUACAUUGCUAAACUUAGUCUUCCACUGUCUACACUCUUAUCACUAUUUAUCCUUUCUUGAAUGUUAGAAUUUGGAUACAUACAAGACUAUUCCAAUUUUUAGCAUCAGAGUAUUGGUCUAUACUUUGUCUACGAUUAUAUUUUUAAUUUAUCUUCGAUGAUGUUAGCGGAAUGCACUUAAUUUAGGUUUGCUAAUCCACCCCAAUUCAGGGUAAAAGUUACUCUUAUAGCCCCUAUUACGAGUCUAUGGGACCCUAGUAGUUUAAAAAUAGACAGGGACUAAUUUGAAACAAUUCUGGAAGAGGAAAUAAUUACAAAAAAUUUGAUUUCAGGGGUCACACACCCGUGUGGCCAGGCCGUGUGCCUCACGCGGCUGAGACACACGCCCGUGUAACUCUCUGGAUUGGGUCUCACGCCCAUGUGUGUUGCCCGUGUGUGACACACGCUCAUGUGGCCAGGCCGCGUGCAACCAAAAGUACCUUAAAACUCAAGUUUAUCAUUUCCAAUUGACUUGGACACUAAGCAACUCAAUUGCCAAUCGUUUAACCUAUUCAAAACACAAUUAACCAUGCCCAAAAUACACCAAAUUCAUCACCUAAUAUGCCUAACCAAUGUACCCUCAUUGGUACCACAUUUUAUAAAACAACACAUUAACAUUCAAGAUUUUCAUUCAUAUCACACUUACCAUAUUUGAACUAACUUUCAAACUUCUAAAGUUACCAAAUAUGAAGCUAAGCACAUACCAAUCAUUAUGCUAAGCUACCAAACUUUAAACUAUCACAUACCAAAAUAUAAACUAGGCUAGCAUACCAACAUAACCUCAACCACAACCAUAUACACAUUUAACCAUCAUUUCACUAGCAACUAAGUUAACAACAUCUUAUAAACGAUAUCAAUAAAAGACUCCUUAGGUACAUGCCAUUACAAAUUGAAAUAUCACCACACUUGAGCUCAGGAUUUGUGAUUUGAUGCUAAGUCGGCAAAAUUCGAACAGUACCUAGCCUGCACACGAAAAACAAAACCGCACGCUGAGUAAAACUCAAUGGUAUUUCUAUAAUCCAAAUAACAUAAACUUGAUAUAAGUAUUUAAAAUGUAAAAUGCAACAAGUAAGCUAUGUUCAUGUGUUUCAAUUAAAUAGUAAUAUUUUUUCUCAUUCCUUAUUCACAUCUACUAAGAUUUUCACAUGUUCAAAUAUAUAAGUAUAUAUCAAUGGCAUUUCAUUUAACAUUUGAAUACAUCAUCUCAUGAAAUGGCAUGAUUCACACUUUGAUAAAUAUUUGAAUUCAUUCAAGUUUCAAAUCUCAAUUCAUCAAUUCAUAUUUUAUUUCUCGUCUCAUAAUCAUUUCUCAUAUUUGCCUUUUCAAUAUUUUCUCAUCUAAUAUUCAUUUCUCAUCUUUGCCAUUUCAAUAUCAAUCACAUAAAUUAUUAUUUUACUUUCCUCUAUUAACACGACACAGACUCGGAUGGAUACACGGAUUCAAUCAACACACCAAUUUGGCACCCAGUGCCUCAUCGGAUAAAUCCGAAGUAAUAACUGCGCCCAGCGCUAUAUAAAUUGACACCCAGUGUCUCAUCGGUUAAACUGAAGCAAAUUGACACCCACUGCCUCAUCGACUCGAGGUCGAAGUAAUCCUUAAACUCUUUCUAUCCUAUGGCAUGCCAUCUAUAUCUGACUCAGCCCGAUACAGUUAAUAGUGUUUCAUUUCACUUUUCAAAUACAACCAAUAUCCAAUUUCAUGAAUAUAUAUAUCAUCACAUAUAAACAUAUAUUCAAUUUGAUAAUAAUCACGUUUUUCUCAAUACACAUAUAUUCAUAAUCAAUAUAUUUCAUAAUAUACAAAAUCAAUUCAUUUCAUUUCAAUUAUGAAUUUAAUUCAAUUCCCAAGUGCCAAAAUACUCACCUCAAAUGCUUACCAUAUGCAAACAAUUAUAUAUGCAAUAAUCUACUAUUUAAUUCGGAUUAUAGAAACACAAACCGUGAUUUUCGAGCUAUUCGACGUCGAUUUUAUCCUUCCCCUUUUUACUCAAGGAUUCCGGUACGACGUUAGCUACGGAACAAAACACUUAAAUCAUAUUAAUAUUACACAUUUCAACUUCACAUUAAAUUUCAAUUUUCACACUAUAUUUUGCUUAUUCUUCAAUUUAGUCCCUAAAUCGAGACUAAUUUUAACCUUCACAAUUAACUUCAUAUUUUUAUACUAAUUUCACUCUAGACCACAUUUAGCUUCCUCUUUUCCAAUUCGACCCCUUAAUUUUGAAUUUUUCAUAAUUUAGUCUUUAUUGUUCAAAAUCAACAAUUAAUUCCACAAUUUAGUCCUUUUCUAUUUCUAACUUAUCUAUUUAAUCCCUAAUACUUAAACUAUUUAAUAAUGUCAACAUUAAAAUCUUGAACAAUACUAAAAAUUACAAUAUGAGUCGAAUAGCCCUAAGUACCAAAAUUCCAAAAAUAUAAAAAUUAUAAAAAAAAAACUAACAAUUGGAAUUUGAAAAUUUAGAGCGCUUGGUGCCGUCAGCCACUUUCUUUCUUUCUUUCUUUUCUUUUCUUUAAUUUGCAUGCAAUUGUUUCAUCUUUCUUUCUAUUUCUUUAUUAUGUUUUCAUUUUAUUAUCUUUAUUAUUAUUAUUAUUAUUAUUAUUAUUAAAGUUACUUUAAUAUAUAACAUAUACACAUGCAAAUUCAUUCAACCAUAACCGGCCACCUCCCAUUAUUUUAAUAAAUGGUAAAUUUGCUACUUUAGUCCCUUCUAUUUCUUUCAAUCUAUAAUUCAACUUUUAACCCUUACGUGAUUUGGUCCCUAUACCUUAAUAACUCCUAAUUUCACAAAAUUUACUAUUCCAAAAAUUAAUUAGCUACCCAACUAACUUUGUAAAUAUUCAAUAAAAAUAUUUACGCGUCCGGUUUACGAAAACAGAGUCCCAAAAAUACGUUUUCCGACACCCUCGACUAUUGGAUCGUUACAAGAAAUCUAAGCUUAAAAUUUAUAAGAAAAAAGUUAAAUAUAAUUACAAGAAUAAUUAUUAGUUAAAAAAACUUUGACAUAAAAAAAGUUGUGCUAAUUUUAUUAAUGUAAAAUAAAAUUCUAAACAUCUUAAUUAUCACUUAGUUAAUGUUAGAGUUAAUUAUGUCAAUUAAUUAUUAUUUUGAAUAAUGUUACUUUACAUUAAUUAUCUAAAAUAAAACUGUCACGCCCCAGAAUAUAGGAGGUUAAUUGUAUUGGAUAAACAAAAAAAAAUUGAAUAAGCUUGAUGGUUAAGUGCUGCUCUCCUCUCUUAAAAGUCCUAACUUCAAGUCUCAUUACUCUCUUAGUUAAAUAUGCUUGUUCUCCAUUGUUUACUCAAGUUAGCCCAAAUGUUUAAGAGUUAACCUUCCUUUCUUGUAUUCUUAAGUUCAAACUUCAAAUCACACCUUUUUCUUUUAUUUUCUUCUGAAAUUCGUCCAGCUUUGGGGAAAUUGUAAGUGACGCCCCUUCCCAAAAUAGAAUUUUACAACUUACCCCUUACCAAAAUUCCAAUAGAAUUAAAAUUUCACCUUACUUUUCUUUUUAAAUCAUAAUAGAAUUUGCUCUUCAUUCUCUAUUUAUUUUCUUUCCCUUUUCUUUACAUCAUAUUUUCAUCCUAUUUAUUGAUAAUUAUUUUAUUUUUCCGAAUUAAAUAAUCCUCCAUUCAAUUGUCCUUUCUAUCGGGUUUGAAAUUAUCGUUGAUAGCAUAUCUAUUCUCACCAAGAAUUGGUAAGUACAUCUCGUUUUCGAUGUUUAAAUCUCGAAUUUUCGCAAUAUUAUUAUCCAACAUAAAUCUUUUGUUCGAUCUAAACAAUCUUUUUCGGUUCUUGACAAAUCUUUCGACAAUCUUGUCAAAUAUUGAAAUCAGCCAUUAAUUCUUAUGUAAAUAUUUUUUAAAGGACCUGAUUUAGGUGAAUCAGAUCAAAUCGGGUGUGAAGAACGUCGACUGGACUCCCGGCGAAAGGUGUGUGUUUUUUUACAAGCGAACAAGGGUAAACCGUGUCUAGGAUUAGGGCCACAUAGUCUGCCAUACGGGCAUGUGGACUACGCGGCCCACCACAUGACCAUGUGCUAUAGAAACCCUAGUGUAGUUCAUGUACGACAUGACUGUGUCUCCCUUAUAAGUUAUUUUUGCAUUUCCCUCACUUAAAAUCUGACUUGGAGCUUGUUGGACUGCAAAAUAUCCUUCAGAAAUUGUGUCUCGUCUGGGUCGUUGUCACGACAUCAACACCUUGGUGUUGUGACAUCCUCGACAGACUAUGCAUUUAACUCAUUGAGUGCUUCUAUGUUACAACAUUGGUCUUCAGUGUCGCGGCAUUGUCCUCAGGCAGGCUUUGACUUCUGCAUCUUUAGGGUUGUGGCUGGUGUUGCGACAUCAUUGACCUAAUGUUGUGACCACGAGUGUUGGUGUUGUGACCUUGCAGGCAGUCCUCUUGAUCAUGCCAUUCGGUGAACUCCAACUCCUUAGUUGAUCCAAAAAAACGUUGGUGUCACAACCUUAGUUUAGGCUCAUCUUCUCAUUCUUGCAUCAACUAAGUGCUUGAAACAAGCUCAACUCAAUUAUUAAGCUACUAAUGGCAUAUACUUGUCAUUUAUUCAGAAAAACAUUAAAAUGCGAUAAAAACUAGAAUCAAACAUGAAAUCUAUAAAAUGGAAAAAAAAACAAUAAAAGAUGCUACAAAUUAUUCGAGAAUAAGGUCUUUAAGUGUUUAAAAAGCUUAAUUUGACACGUAUAUAAACGGGGCAGAUCAACUCUCGACAUUAAAAAGGUUACAAAUGUUAUGAACCUAUUGCUCAUAAACAUUUUAUUUCUGUUGAUGUAACCUCCAUAUUUCUCCUCUACAUCUGUAUCCUAAAAUGAAAUUGUUGAAGCCCUCCCAGCUCCUUUCUUCCCUAUUAAUAAUACACCUUCCACUAAACCUCUUCAAGUUUAUUCUCGUUGCGUCACUUCACAUGCUCCUAAUCUUCCUUCUACAAAUUCAAGUCAGGUAGCUGUCCAAGUGACUCAUCUCCUACACUAGCAUCUUCUCCACCUCCGGUUUAGCCUCAAAAGGAAGAACACACUCCACCUUUUGCUCUUAGAAAAGGUAUUCGGUCAUCUUGAAAUCGUCAUCCUAUUUACACCUUUGAGUUUUCACCGUCUAGCACCAUAUUAUUAUGCCUUCACCUUAUAUUUAUCCAAUGUGUAAGGGAUUUAAAUUGCGGUCGCGGUCGCGUUUUCGGUCGCAUUGCGUUUAUCGCGGUUGCGGACAUAACGGAUGCUAUUGCGGUCAUUGCGGGUAUCGCGGUCGUGAAUUUUACACUACUUAUUAUGUAUUGCAGGUAUAGCGGGUUUCAGCAAUAGCGGUUUCGGACGGUGCCGCUACCGCUAUAUAACGGCCGCUAUUUUGGUAACGGACCGCUAUUUAAAUCCUAUACCUAAUACAAUUAGUGCAGGAAAGACUGAUCAUGGAUGACAACAAGCUAUGGUGGAAGAAAUGAAUGUUCUUGAUGCUAAUAAUACGUGGGAUCUUGUUCCCUUACCACCGGGAAAGACUGUUGUUGGAUGUCGAUGGGUAUACACAAUUAAAGUUGGUUUGGAUGGGAAGAUAGACUGGUUAAAGGCACGUUUGGUUGCUGAAUGGUUUUCACAGAUUCCUAGUCUCGAUUAUGGGGAAACUUUCUCGCCAGUUGCUAAAAUCACUUCCGUUCACCUCUUGAUCUCCCUUGCUGCAAUGAGUCAUUGGAGUAUUCAUCAACUCGACAUUAAAAAUGCUUUUCCUCAUGGGGAUUUAAAUGAGGAAAUUUAUAUGGAGCAACCGCCUAGAUUCGUUGCUUAGGGGGAGUCUAGAUUAGUUUGUUGAUUAAGGAAAUCUUUGUAUGGUUUAAAGCAGUUCCCGAAAGCUUGGUUUGGACGGUUCAGUGUUGUCAUUCAACAAUUUGGGAUGAAAAGGAGUGAAUCUGAUCACUCUAUCUUCUAUCGUCAUAACACUCAUGGUAAGUGCAUCUAUCUGGUUGCUUAUGUGGAUGAUAUUGCUAUCACAGGUGAUGAUCAGGAAGGAAUAAUGCAACUCAAGCAACAUCUUUUCGAAAAUUUUCGAACUAAAGAUUUGGAGAAAGUUGAACUAUUUUAUGGGUAUUGAAGUGGCAAAAUCAAAUACAGGCAUUGUGAUCUCUCGAAGGAAGUAUGUGUUGGAUAUAUUAGAAGAAACAAGAAUGUUGGAUUGUAAACCUGUUGACACACAAAUGGAUCCUAAUUUCAAGCUUAUUCCAGGACAAGGGGAGCCACUAAAAGAUCCUAGGCAAUAUCGAAGGUUGGUUGGAAAAUUGAAUUACCUUACUAUCACACGUCCGAAUACUUCUUUUUCAGUGAGUGUGGUUAGCCAAUUUCUUCAAGCUCCAUGUGAUAGCCAUUGGAAUGUUGUAAUGCACAUCCUUCGAUAUGUCAAGCUUCUCUUGGACAAGGUAUGCUGUACGAAAAUAAGGGAUAUACACAGCUAGUUGGAUAUUUAGAUGCUGACUGAGCAGGAUCUCCUUCAGAUAGGAGGUUCACUUCAGGAUAUUGUGUCUUUAUUGGAGUAAAUUUAACAUCAUGGAAAAGCAAAAAGCGAGAUGUGGUUGCAAGGUCAAGUGCGGAAGUAGAGUAUCGAGCUAUGGCUUUAGUCACUUGUGAACUUAUCUGGUCGAAACAACUUCUUCAGGAGUUAAAAUGUAAAGUUGACAGCCCAAUGAAGCUAAUAUGUGAUAAUCAAGCAACGUUACAUAUUAUUACAAAUCCGAUGUUUUAUGAAAGGACAAAACACGUAGAGAUGGACUAUAUCACUUUGUCCAAUGAAAAAUUGAGUCAAAGUGUAUUACGGCUAGUUUUGUCAAUUCUAAUGAUCAUUUAGCUAACAUUCUCACUAAAUCUCCUAGGAAACCUUGGAUUGAGUGUUAAGAUAUGCUGAGAUGAUUAGCAUAAUAUUAGGGAUUGUGAAUGUAUGACUUAGCCCGUCAAUUAGAAUCAUAGAGAUUUCCUUAUUUCAUAUAUGUUUUCAGUGUACAAGUACUUCUGUAAGAAAGAAGAAUGCCCAAGGCAUUUUAUUCAGAAUUACACUUCUUUUCUAUCUGUUUUAUCAAACGACAACAACCUAAAUUGGUAGCAGCCAGCAACAGUUUCUUUUCUUCUCUUCCUCUUUUCUUCUUAAAUUAAUAAUCUCCGAUCUCAUACCAAAUAUCGAGCUUUGAAUUACGAAUUGAACUCAACUUUGUUAUAGCAUGAGGUCAACUUACCCUUUGCCAAACCACAAACAUCUGUGCAUAUUUCAACUUAAAGAUGUUAAAGCAAAGGCUUACAUUAUCAUUUUGAACUAAUAUUCUCUAUCAAGAACAUAUGAUCUUUUCAUGUUUUUAACUGUCAUUCUUGGAUAGCAGAAUCAGAAGAAAGGAGCAGAGGACUUCAAAGAUGCAAGUUGUUCUCCAUUGAAGUUUCACGAAAUCAAAAUACAAGAUCUAGACAAGAAUGUCUUCUUCAUCAUCAAAACUCAAAUUCAAUGUUUGUAACUUGAAUCCUGCGCCUUGUAUGAGCUCCACCAAAUUGGAUGCUACUCCGGUAGCUUGAACCGUAGUCUGUUUCGUUAACUGAGAAAGAUAAUAGAAGGGUCAUUGCUUUGUUGUAAGUAUUGCAAUCCCUUGUCCAUACGUGAAGGCAGAAUGAACGUAUAGAAAACUCAAUGAAUGAACCAUGGGAUCGUAAAAGAAUGAACCAUGGGUCUCAUAAUGAAUACAUGAAGAGUUUCAUCAAGAACCAGCAAGGUAGAAAAAAAGCCUAAUAUUCUAUCACAAAUUCAAGUUUCAAAGAAGGUGGUUAUGGGAAGUGAUCUGAAAUCAUAAAUACGAUAUAUAUCAAGCAGCAAGUAAAAAAUACUCACCUCAACAGUACCAAUACCCUCAAGGACUUGAACCUUCAAAUCGGAAACGCCUUCUGCUCCCUACAAGGAACAAAUAAAUCAUCCUGUCAAUUUAGAUCAUAGUUUAUGCUCAAACAAAAUUAAACAACUUGCCAUAAAGAAUAUCGACGGAAACCUAGUUGUGCCAUUAAACAGACAUAUAAUUAGAUUUUUCCAGUUUUGUUCUUAGUGAGGGAUAAUACAAAAAGAUUAUGUAAAAUAUUUCUCUCUGCAAUAAGCCAUUCUCUAAGGGAUUGGGGGAAACACUAUAUAAGCUUGGGGCUCCGUAUAUAGAACAAGAAUUUAACUAAGGGAUUGAGUGAAACACAAAUAAGAAGUUAGAUUUCCCCCCUCCAUUCAAUCUGAAGAUAAAUCUAACAAGCUGCCUAUCAAAAUGAUCAUUUUGAUACCUCUAAUGCCUUGGUCACCUUCGGAAUUUCAGCUUCAUUCAACAUUCCAUCUGCCUUUAAAACAAACAAGAUCAAUUAUCAGUGACCUAUUAAUGAAUAGUUUCAAGGGAAGAAAUUCACAGACAAAUAUACAUAUUAACCAUAUAUACAAUUUCAAGCAAUACUAGUCAAAUAGAACCGAUUUUUUGCUUGAUUUCAAGAAUUCAAACUCUGUGGAAUACGUAACACAAAGAUGCACCCCUAGAGACUAGUCCUUUCAGGGUUCGUGGCUGCCUUUCCCGACAAUGUUGUCUCUAAAUUUCGAACUCAAGUUCGGGUGCAAUGUGAAUUAGCAGUGGAGAUUCUUUUAAGUGCUAUAAAACAUUAUACAUAUUUCCAGAAUUAAGUAACAAAUAUAAACUCAGAAAGAAGUUCAAGACCCAGCAUCAUCCAUUUGGAAAACAUAACAAUUUACCAUUACUUAUUAAAAAAAUAACAAAGCAAUUUGAACUUUUACAUAAUUAAGUAGCAAAAUAGAAGUUAGAUCCCAAACUUUUAUCAUCACUCAACCAAAACAAUAUUUCAUUGCAUCAAAAGAGGGACUUUGAUAGUUCACUAAUAAAAGAAGCCAGCUCUGAACAAUGGUUCAAUUUUCCUUUUUCCAGACCAAAAUAACAUAAACAUUAUAAUAAUUGAAAAAAAGGAACAUACCUGGAAGUACAUUCUGAGAGUGUCUGAAGGAGAAACAGGAACAGAAACAGACUCUUGUUCGGCUACAGUUGUUUCUUCUCGUUCUUGUUCAACAACAGCUGUUUCUUCUUCUUCUGCAGACUUGAGUUUCCAAGUACCGUAAAGAGUUUUGCUGUUUUUGAAGGAUAAGGUUAAGUUGUUGGAAGAAAAGGUGGAAACUUUGGUCUGAAAAUGGAUAGAAUUUGGAUAAAAGGAGAGGUUUUUGGGAGAUUUAAAAUGGGUUUUGGAGAUUAAAUGCAAAGGAGUUGAAAAUGCUGAAAUUGUUGCCAUUUGGUCUUCAAAAUUUGUGCUUUUGGAUGAGAGAACUAAGAACUGUUAGUCGAUUGUAUUAUAUUAUCCGAAUUCUGAAGAAGAGGGGGGUUUUGAUUUUGUUUUCUGUUGGUGGAAAAAGGGUAUUACUUUACUGAGCCUGCUUGGACCAACCUUUUGGUAUGAGUUGGAUGAGCCCAUUAUUCUGCUACGUUAAUAUAUGUCAUAAAUUUCUCUACUUUUUAUAAAUUUGAAAUUUAAUCCUUAUGUUCUUAUUUUUCAAAAUUUAUUUUUAAAUAUUUUUUUAUACAAUAUUAGAAGUAAGAGAUAGAGGUAAUGCAAUCUAAAGUUGUUUGUCAAAAGCUUUAAUUACCCUCCCAUUCAAAAUACUUUAGGUUAUUUUAUAUUUUGAUAUAAUUAUAUAUAAUAUUCGUUAAAUUUUUAUAUUAACUUUUUAUUUCAUGUUUAACUUUUUUUUUAAGACUACAAUUUUAUCUGUUACUUAACCCAUUACUGCUGUUAAUACAAUAUUUAAAACUAAAAGCUUAUUAUUGAUCACAAGAUUAGCAAAUAAAUUUCUUUUCCAUUAUCUUAUAAUUAGAACAAAGUUAAACUUUUAAAUAAACCUAGAUAAGGUGAAUAAAAAAUAAUUUAUGUAACAAAUUUAUAAAAAAAUUAAAACAAAAAUCAAAUGUGAAUUUAGUUAAAAUGGUAAAAUUAAAUUUAUAAAUGCAAUGACAUCUCAAAGUUCAAAUAUUUCAUCAUACACAUGUAUUUUUCUAUAUAUAAAAAUAUAAAAAGAAACAAUACUACUUCAGCUAGGCUGAAAUGAGAAGAAUUGUCAUUCUACCUUCAACUGUCAGUGAUGGAACCGAUUGCAAUAGCUAUCAAUCCGCAAUAUGAUCGCCAUUGACAGAAAACAUUACAGCAUGCUUACAUGCGCUGUGCCCGCUUACAAGGAAUGUCAAGUCCACAAACAUUCCUACUCUCCAUGUAGAACCAUUGCAUGUAUACAUAGAGUUAUGUACAAUGUCCGGAAUUGUGAACUAAGUGGAGAUAAGAUAGUUAAGAUGAAUUAGCCUACCGAUCUGUCUUCUAGACAUUGUAGAAUAAUCAUUUCCGACUUUAAGUUCUAUCUCAAAGUCCAGGCAUGCAUGCAGCUCGUCAAAGACACCUAUCAACUGGCAGUAUCUUCAUUAACUUAGCAAGGUCGUACGACUUGAAGUCCUUCCCAUAACACAAGCUUAAAUCCAAGGCAGUUUUCCCAUCCUAAAAUACAUCAACAAUAGAACAUCAAAUUUAUCUAAUGCUAUGUUACUCUGGUUUUUUUCAUGUUAUUUGACAUAUUUGGAGGGUAUCCCCAUACUAAUGUCUCGAUCUACAUUAAAUAUAAGUGUCAAACACGAUUGCUUCAAGAAAAAUGAACAAAAAGAAGAAGUAUUUCUAAGUUUUUCCUAAAAAUAUGCGCCGGGGACAAGUACUUUAAAGAACAAAGAACUAAGAAACAUAGGAUCUUCCUGCAUCCUCAAACAAAUAUUCAACAAUGGACAUGGAAGAGAAAAUAGAUGAGUUUUCAUUUUUACUAUAUUGGUUACCUUGUUUUUUCGGGUCUUAUCUGCACCAUUGAUCAACAAAAUUUUAGCUAUAUCUCUAUUUCUACUUUGAACAGCAACAUGCAAUGGGGUCCAUCCAUCCUGUAAGAAGGGGUUACAAAAGAACUAAGAAGCAAAGCUACAAGCAAGAUAAAAUACGGGUCAAGAAAGUUUAAGAGCAACUCACUUGAUCAGCAACAUUGACAUCUACAUCGUACUUCAGCAAUAAUUUGACAGUUUGCAAAGCACCAACGUGAACGGCGUAAUGAAGUGGGGUAGCACCAUCCUGAUAUCAGGAUAAACAGAUGAAUUCAAGUUAAUUAUGUGUAAGAAUGGAACAAGCAGUAACAAGUUUAUGAUAGGAAAAUGUCACCUCACCUUAUCUUUGACAUGUGGAUUUGCACCUUUUCGUAAGAGAUGACUGAUUACAGCCUCCCUUUUACCAAUAAUUGCCUUAUGAAGAGCAGUGUGACCAUCCUGUCUGAUCAUAUCAAAAUUAGAUUUUGUAUUCUCCAAACUGGCAAACCAAAAAUUUAGAUAUGAAUAAGAUUUACCUUAUCCACCUCAUCGAUGUUUAGCCCAUCUUCAAGUAGCUUAUCCAUAGAAUGUAUCUGCAAUGAUAGCGCAAGAGUUUGAAGUGGCUUCCAUUUGUCCUGGAUAUCCGGGUCAAAAAAAGCUAAAUAAUCAGCCCAUAAGAAACAAAUAUAUGAAAUUAAAAUUAUUACAUAACGGAACAAGAUGGAAAGUAAUAGAAAUUACAGUAGAGAUCUUUCUCAAGUUAGGAGAGGCAUUCUGCUGCAGAAUUGCUUUUUCUUCGGGUCCCAAAAGCUGCUCAACCUCUGCAAAUUAUUGAAGAUCCUUAUGUAGUUCACUUUGCUAAAGAUAAUAUGUAUGAAAAGUACAUAAAAAAUAGUUAUAUAACAAGGAUAUCUGACAAAUGCAAUGAAGAAGACAACUAGUGCAAAUGAAUUAAAGGUAUAACUCCACACUUUACUGGAAAAUAAUGCAGAAAUCGGCUUAUGGUCAAUUAUAUUAGUUUGAAGACCUAAGAGUCAAGUUGCAACAUAAGACAUCAACCAACUAGACACCAACUGGUUUUAUAUGCAGAUUAUUAAUUAAAACAAAUAUUAUACCUUCACAUACAAAGGGAAAAAUUCAAAUUGAUCAUAAGAAAUAUACCAUUUUGCAGUUGUUUUCAGAUUCGUGAAAGACGAAAGCACUAUACAUUUCCCUAUCCAACACGGAGGAUAGAAAGAAAAAGUUUCCCUUAUGAUUUUACCAGACAAGAACCCUCUUAUUCAUCUUACACAAGGACAAUAUAAUGCCUGUGUAACUCGGACUUGGGUGUAAGUAUUGGAGAUGAGUACGGUAUGUUCAAUUUCCAUGCAUUUAAAGGGUCCUUAGAGGAUCAUACCCUAAUACCGAUAAUGCAUACUUUCCCUCAUGUGUAGCUAGAAAACACAUUACCUGAAAACUAUCAUCUAAUCUAAUAAGUUACUAACCAGUAGCUCGUAAUAUCAAAUUAAUUAUGAAAACAAUCUAAAUUCCCAUCUAAAAUCUAACAGGAAACAUAAGUAUUUACAGAAGUAAGUUCCUCUCCAAUCAAAAACACAAACCUUUGACAAGAUCUUCCUCAUACUGAUUCACUGUAUGGUUAUCAACAACUCCAACAGGAUUUCCUUGUUGAAAAUCAGACCCAUCAUUCUCUUCCACUUCUUCUUCAUCAUCAUCAUCAUGUUCACUUCCACUUCCAUCAUCUGGGUCUUCCCAGAUUCCUUGAUGGGUAUUUAAAGAAGCGGUUGAAGAACUUGAAUUAACCACAAAUGGCCUUGAAAAGGUUCCACCCGAAUUGCCCAAACUCUAUAAAGGAUUCGGAAAAUCAUCCUGUCAGAUUCGAUAAUAACUUACUCAAACAAUAUCAAAGAACCUAACAUUAAGAAUAUCGACUGAAAUAUAGUUGUGCAGCUAAACAGAUGUAUAAUUAGCUCUUCCUGUUUUGUUUUUGGUCAGGGAUAAUACAAAGCAAUUAUGUGAAAUGUUCAGUGACCUAUGAAUCAACAGUUCAAAGGGAAUAAAUUUGCAGACAAAUAUUCAUGUAACCGUAGAUAAAGUUUCAAGCAAAACUAGUAAAAUGAAACCAAUUUUUUCUUAAUUUCAAGAAAUCAGAUUCCACACAAUAAGUAAUAGAAAGAUGCAGUCCUAGUAAAGGUUCUUUAAGGUCUAUGAAAAACUAUACAUUUUCCAGAAUUCAAUGACAAAUAUAUUCAUCCAUAGAUAAAUAUUAAAGAACAAGUACUAAAGAAGCUAUGUUAUUACUUAAGUUCAAAAGCAACAUUUAACAAAUAUAACAACCAUUCUUCAUUACUUGUUCAGAAACCAGUAACAAAAUUGAACUUCAACAUAAUUUUAAGUAACAAAUAGAACUUAGAACAUAAAACUUAUAUCACUCAACCAACAAAAUUCCAGUACAUCAAAAGAGGGGAUUAAAUAGUUUACAUUCAGUUUUCCUUUUACGAGACCAAAAAAACAUGAAGCUACCAUAAACAGUGUUGAAAAGUAAAAAACCCAUACCUGGAAGUACAUUCUGAGAGUGGAUGUAGGAGAGACAGGAAGAGCUGCUGCUUCUUCUUCAGCAGAGUUCAGUUUCCAAGUCCCACAAACGGUUUUUCUCUUUUUGAAGAAUAAGGCUAAGUUUUUGGAAGAAAAGGUGCAAACUUUGGUCUGUAAAUGGGUAGACUUUGGACAAAAGGAGAGGCUUUUGUGAGUGUUGAAAUGGGUAUUGGGGAUUAAAUGUAAAGGAAGUGAAAAUGGCGAGAAAGUUGCCAUUUUUUUGUGCUAUCCGAAUUCGGAAGACGAUGAGGGGGUUUUGAUUUUGAUUAUGCUUUUUGUUGGGCCUUUUUCUCUCCAUUGGGAAAAGGCAUUACUCUAGUCAGUGUACAUGUUUGGACCAAACUUUUGGUACGAAUUGGACAAGGGCCAGCCUUUUUUUCUAGUCUCUAACACAUUAACCAUUCAAUCCUCUGCACUGCAGCCUUUUAUUUUUGAAACCAAAUUGGCAUUUUGAUUUUGUAUAUGAAAGCAGUAUAUAAAAACAAGUUAACAGUGUCUCUAAAACAACCAACAACCCAACAUCCCUAUAUUCAGUUAGAAAGGUCAAAUGCAAUUCAACAAGCAUUUGGUAUAUCAUUAUAAUUAUUCAUUAUUGAAGGCACAUUUGAAGGUUUUUUUUUUUGUGAAAUUAGAGAUUCAAAUUAAUUAUAAUUUUGCAAGCCUUCAAACGUGUAUUUAACAUGAGGCUUGUUUUUGUUUUGUAGAAGAAAGAUAGUGAGCUCUUAUCUUGUUCAUUAAGGAGCCUAUACCACUAUUGAGUCGCCGGAGAACAAUAGGUGCAACGGAAUUUAAAAUUCCCGAGGUUGGGAAUUAUGUUAACCUCAAAUCUAAUAAUCCAAGAAGUAUUUUUAUGAUGAAUCAGUUCAGACAUUGUUAUACUAAUAUGGACUUAUACGUUGGCUCGAUGCCUUAUACCCAUGACAACAUCUUGUCGUUAAUCAAUCACACAGUCUCAAUGUAUUAUUGUUAUCUCGGCCGGCCCACAAUAAUACUCAACUAAGAACAAUUUAAGAAUAGUCAUUUUAUUCUAGAGACUCUAUAAUUAAUCAAUUUAUUUAAUACAUAGAAAUAAAAGUUGAAUAUAAUAAUAGACAUACAUUUAUUAAUAAAAACAAAGUAAAUAAGUGUGUUAUUACAAUCAUAUCAUGAUUGGUCUUAAACAUGCUCCAAUAGAUAAAAUCUCUAUUUAUGGAGGAUACACGAGUUUCUCCCACUAAAUCACCAAUAGGCAUGUCAUGCACGCUCAAUGCAUAUUUCCCCCAAUCUUGCAACAACAACCAACCUCUUUAUGACAAAUGACCAAUAAUGUGCCAUGAUGCUUAUAACAGGCAUAGCUUAGGUAACGUUUAACACAAGUCUCCAUGAAUCACACCACGUCAUUGAAACAAUAGUUACAAAUUCAAAAUUCAAAAUUCAAAAAUUUCCUCAACAUUAUGACAUCCCAUACUACAUCAAAAUAGUGACCACCUUACUAAGUUCAUUGAUUUCAUGGGAAGUCAUUUUAUAACCGUCUUUUUUACUAGGGGACAAUUGUUACACAUACUUCACUUGCUGCCUUGCCAAAGAGACCAACUUGUUAGGAGGACCGUUUCAUCUAGCACCAUACCUCGCUAGGGCUCAAGUUAUGCCAGCUCGACCACCUCAGCAAGAUUAUUGUCCCUCCUCAUUAACAUACCCUACAACCUUAUCAAAUCGGGUCACGUAUUAGACCUAACCAUCACCUAACCUAAACGAAAGCCUACCAAUCAAGAGAUGACACGUGGUUUAUGAGUGCCACCUUAAAUACUUUUUUGAAUCCCUGAUUUUGGGGUCAAUAGAGAUGUACAACUCUCUCCUCCACCUCUCUUCCUCCUCAUUCUACUCUAGCCUCUACUUCUUUUUUUUUUAAUUACCACAAAUUUUUUAAUCACCAAAGUAACUUUUAAUCUAUUAUUUUUAAUUAAAAUAAAAAAUAAAUUUGCUUAGAAAACUCUCUAUAUAAAGUAAACUAUUCGUAUCUUUUAUAUAUAUAUUAAUAACUAAUUUUUUAACCACCAAAAUAUUCCUCAUCUUUUGUUCAUUAUAAAGCUUAAUGUGGACGCCUCAAUCGAUGCUCAAGCUGGAAUGGUGGGUUUGGGCGUUAUCGCGGGAGAUAGUAAUAGAAUUGUUGUCUUUAUUAUUGUUUAGUUGAAAAGUGGUUUUCAAAAAAAUAUUUUUAGGAAAAAGUAUUGUUGAAAAAUGUUGUAAAAAAUUAUAAUUUGUUAAUUUUUAGAGUUUUUUUUAUUUAUUGUCAAAAAAAUACUUUUAGCUUCAAAAUUACUUUGAAAAGAAAAAUUGUGGCCGAAAUUUUUAGCUAUUCAGAAACACUUUUGAAAAACACUUCUGAAAAUGAGAAACUAAAAUUUUUAGCUUUUCCUCUUCUAAAAAAAUUUUUGGUGCUUAAUUAUUUUUUCAACCCUCCAAUAACAUAGUACUUUGCCUUCUUUUUAUUUUCUUGAUAUUUAAUUAUAAAUGUGUUAAAAUAAUUAAUUAAAAAUAAAAAGUAUUUUUUUAAAAUAAUACAAAUGUGUUAAUAUCUAAUUAUAAAUAUUUAAUGGUUAUAUUUAAAUAUUUAAAAUAUAUUUUAUAUAUUAUAAUUAAAUUUUAUAAAUAAUUAAUAUUUACUACUUAAAAAUAUUUAAAAUUUAUAUUUCAUAUAUUAAAAUAUUACCAAGUUAUAAUAAAAUUUUUUAUAUUCUUAUUAAAAUAUAAUAAUAUUAACUAAUUUGAACAUUAUUUAAAUUCAUAUUUGUUACUUGAUAAUAACAUGUCUAAUAUGAGCAUUUUAUUUCUCAAAAGAACUUUUUGACAGCAAUGCUAAACACUUAAAGCUUAAACCAAAUUUUUUAUUUUAUUUUCUUUUACUAAAAGUAUUGCUAAACUAGCCCUAAGUUUGGAUGGACGAUGUGUUUACUCUAGGUAAGGUUAAAAACAGUGGCGGUGGUGAGAUUAGUUACUGUUGCUGUGAGGUAAAAGAUUCCACUGUACUAAAAUCACCGCCCAUCCAAAGGAGGCCUUGGUCUUGGUUUGGAUAGACGAUAAAAUUAACUUCGAUGAUAUUAAAAAUAGUAAUGGUAGUGAAAUUAAUUAUUGUGGCAAUGAGAUUAGAUAUUGUAAUUGUGAUAUUAAAAUUAGUGAUGAAAGAUGUGUUUGCAUUCAAUUGCAACAUGACAAUGAGGUGAAUUAGAACUAAAAGAAAAAAUGAUCAUUACGAACAUUAAGUUAAAUAUUAUUUAUGUAUAAAAUAAAUAAUUAAGAAUAUAUAUUUUUAAAAUGGGAAUAACUUAUAUUAAGAUUAUCUUGAAAAGCAUAUUUUUUAGGCACAAUAAAAUAAUGUCACGUCAUUAAAAUUUAAAGAUAACAAAGUAUUAUCAUAUAUUCAUCUAUAGUUACUAUCUUCUCCAACUUAAUAUAGCUUUAAUUGAAUUACGCGAUUAAUUUUUUAAAUUAUAAAUAAACAUUUUUUCUUCUUUUAUAAUUUUUAAUCAUUUUUUCUUUCCAGAAGUUAAUAUGUAUAUUAUUUUUGUGCAGCCAAUUUUUUUUUUUUAAAAUUGUUUAGUUUCUAGACAGUGGAUUUUUUUCUUUUCUUUUUUCAUUUUAAAUUGUUUUCUAUAAAAUAUUAUAUUGAAAUGAAUCUUCAGUAAUAAAAAUUAUGUAAAUUUUUAAAUUUUCAUGUUAUUUGAUUUUCUUUAUUUUAAUUACUUAUGUUUAAAAAAAAACUAGAGUUCGAGAGUAGGUUGCAUAUUGAUCGGUGUAUAAUAAUAAUUUUAUGUCUUUAAAAUUUGAUGAUGUGCGAAAUUUUACAUAUUGAUGGGUGAAUGAGAAUUGAAUUCUCGACUACUGAUUAAGGUAAGAGAGACCCUUAUCAUUUAUUGUAUGUUAUUUAUAAAUAUACUCAUAUGUUUUAAAUUCGUGGAUAUGCAUAUGAUAAAAAUUUUAAUAUAUUUUAAAUUUUCUAAAAAAAUAAUUAAAUUAUUAAACCGUGGCAAAAGAAACGAACUACAAUAAUAAUUCACCCAGCAACUACUACCGUAGUUAAAGGAAGACUUUUUUUUUCCUUCUUAUUUAUAGCAAUAGAUAUAGAGGAAGACUUUUGAACUUGGGCAAAUAACCAAAAAAGACCCUUUUUUUUCAAAAUUUACCGAAAUGGGCCGGUUUUUUAAUUAUUUACCGGAAUGGGCCAUUUUCCGCGAAAUCGCGUCCAUGUCAGCGCGAUUUGAUGACGUGGAAGGAAAUCGCUCCCUCUAGGACGCGAUUUGCUGACGUGGCAUGAACAGUGUGUUUUUAGCUUGGAAAACUUUGAAAGGCCAUAACUUUUGGCUCGGUUGUCCGAUUGAGACGAAUUUUUUUUUGAUUUCAAAUAAAUUUUUGAGAUAUACGUGCUGGAAAACUUCUUAGAGAUGAAUAGGGACUAAUUUGUAAAGUAUAAUUUGUUAGUUACGAGUAUAGGGACUAAAGUGUAAUUAUUUCAAAAUUAGCACGAAAUUUUUGUAUUUAAGAAUAUUUGAAUGUUAUGGAAGGAUUAAAUUGAAUUUGAAUUGAAAAAUGAAGCUUAGAUUUGAAAAUAUGACUAUUUAGGUUUUAGGGACUAAGUUGAAUAAAAUGGAAAAUUUUAGGGAACUUCUCAAAAGUGGAAUGAGCUGACUUAUACCUAUAACAGGAUGAUAUAAGACAAUUCUGUAAAAAAAUAUCCGGUGUUUACUUCAAAUAAAUGAGGAAAAUAACGAUUUGAAUGUUUCAAAAUUCAAUUUUAAACCGAAAAAAUCAAAAUUUAGGGGCAAAAAAGGAUAUUUUUCAAUGAAAACUUCAGCAAACCGCCUUUUUCGGUUUGCCAGCGCGUAGGUCUCGAAAAUUUAUUCGAAAUCAAAAAAAAUCGUCUCAAUCGGACAACCGAGCCAAAAGUUAUGGCCUUUCAAAGUUUUCCAAGCUAAAAACACACUGUUCAUGCCAAGUCAGCAAAUCGCGUCCUAGAGGGAGCGAUUUCCUUCCACGUCAUCAAAUCGCGCUGACGUGGACGCGAUUUCGCGGAAAAUGGCCCAUUCCGGUAAAUAAUUAAAAAACGGCCCAUUUCGGUAAAUUUUGAAAAAAAACGGCCUUUUUUGGUUAUUUUCCCUUUGAACUUAUCCAGUUUUUUUUUUCUAAUUAUAAAAAUUGUGUUUCAUUAAAAAAAAAUUGUUAUUCUGUAUUAUACAUAAGUUAUGUAUUUAAUUUUUAUACUUAAAAUUUGAUUAUUUUUAGUCCCUAUAUUUUAAUUUCAAUCAUGACAAAAUAAUUGCCAUUGAAUUUAUUAAGUUUUACUAUUUUAAAAUCUGAUGUGACAUAUAUUAUUACAUAUGUAAUAUAUGUAUUACAGAAAAGAGGACAAUUAAAACGGUUAUCGUUUGCGUUAAUAUUGAAAUUUUAAAAAUUUAAAAAGUACAAUUGGAUAACAUUGAUAAGAUGUAUAAAACUAUUAGCAAAAUUUAACGAAAUGGGCUUAACUAUUCAAAAUUUAAGCAAAUUGUAGGUAUAUGGAGGUGGGUGUAGGUGCCAUCAUCUCAUAAAGCAAAUUCAACUAAAAUGAUGAGUUGAUUGAUAAUUUCAGUAAUUAACAACCAAGCAUAUAUUUAAUAUAAAAAAAUCAAGUUUUAAACAAAACUCAUUCAACUUUUUGUUAAAAAAUUAGAUUAUGUUAUUGUAUUUUAUCUGUCAUAAUUAUUCUUUAUUUAUAUAAAAAUAAAUAAGUUGAAGUUGAGUUGAUGGCCAUGGCAAGCAAGUCGCAAAACCAUCGGCAGUUGCAGAAAAAAGAAACUUGUCUUUCACAUCAAACAAAAGAUUUUCAACCCUUCAAUACAUGGCCUUCAAGGAAUAUUAUGCAUUAAAAAGAAAAUAACAGAAAAGAAACUUCUGAAUGUUAUUAUUUUCUUCCUGUCUUGUGAAUUCUCGAUGGUCAUCCAAGUUUCAGACCAUGAUCAAGAAUUCCCAAACACGCCACUCAAAAGAGAAGACCCAACAUCAACCAUUGAUGCAGAAGAAGAAGAAGAAGAAGAAGAAGAGUUAUUAUCACCACCAUUGUUGGAAUCACCACCACCACCCAUCAAACUCUGCACCAAAUUCUGACCGACUUGUUGAGCUGCUCCUUCUACAAACCCUUGAACCGCAACUCCCAUCAAACCAUUCCCCGCCGCUGCUCCAUUGUUUUGGUAUUGACAGUUCAUUGGUGCACCUCCAUUUCUGUACUGCAAAUUGCUUUGAGCUGACCCUGCAAACGAAUCCCAUGCUUGAAACUGAACAUUUCCUUGUCUGGUUGUGCCUUUAUAUAUACUUGCAGCAGUGUUAACACAACUCAUAUGAACAUCAAAUUCACAAAUACUACACCGAUAAAGCCAAUGAUUCGACCCGAUCUGGUGGCAGACAUCACAAGAGAAACCUUUGGUUUGAUAAGGAGGGUAAAAGAAGAGUUGAAGCUGGCAAGGAUGGGAAUGGCAGUGGAUAGACAAUGGCUUAGAAGCACAUACGGAGUGGAUAUCAAAGUCACACUGGUUACAAUGGUAGUUGAAUCCAUGGCCCCGUUGACCACAAGCAUCACAGUUGAAAUACCCAACAGGGUAAGCUGGUGCCGGAAGGAGGCUGAGGGAGUGGCCGGGAUGGGCUGGAUGAGUGAUCAAAUGAGGCAGUUGACUGCAUGAAGUGUGGAGGGUGAAGUUGCAGGGUCUGCAAGUGUACAUCCAUCCAGAGGAUUGGAGCUUGCAGGCUGAACAUGGGUUGAGGUUAAGGGCUUGAAUAUUUGUUAGCUCUAGCAGAUGGGGAUGACUAAAGUGCUGGAUGUGUAAAUCAUGGCUUAGCUUUCCCAUGUUUCGACCAUGGAAGAGAAAGACUGAAAGUAAAUGAAGGGUUUCUCCAUUGAUUUUUUAGCUCAAUAAAGAGACAAGGUGGUUGACUUUCAUUGGCAUAUGAUGAAGUCAAUGGAACGCGUCCCCCGCCCCCUUUUUUUUAACCUUUGAACAUUUCUAAGAGAGGCAUACCCACGGGCUCUCGGUUUAGAAAAUAUUGAAAAAACAAUUCACUUACUCUUUCUAUUAAAAUGGGUAAAUUAGUCAUUAUAUAUUAAAUCAUAGAGUAAAUUAGAUAUUUAAUUAAAAAUUUAAUUAAUUUUUGUUAUUAAAAAUUGGUCUCUGUACAUCAACAUGUACACGUAUCAUGCCACGAUCAUUGUAUGGUUAUCUCAUUAGCUACACUGAUUUUUAAUAGUUCAAAUGGAUGAAAUUUUAAUAGAAAGGACCAAUAUGCUCUUUGAACUAAUGCACAUGGACCAAUUUGUCCUUUUUUAAGGAGAGGGGAAAAAUGCAAUCUGACUCUUAGUAUAGAGACCUCCAUGAUACUUUUACCCAUAAUACCUCAUUCGGUUACUAGUGUACUCACAUGAGUAAAAGGUUUAUUUAUUACUUACGUAUUACAAUAGUUAAAUAUAGAAUAAAGAUUAAUUAAUACAAAUUUGAACUUGAAACUAGAAAAAUAAGGAAAAACCCUUGUAAAAAAUAAGACAUUUUCAAAAUAAGAAAAUAAAUUUUCCUUCUUUUUUCCUAAAACGAGUCAUGUGAGUGGCUAAAAAUUUCCAAUUGAAAUUAGUUUAUUACUAACUCAUAUAUUAAAACACAAUGAAUAAAUAAGACUCCUACCAAGCUUAGCAUUUAUGUUUUAUGUAAAAUCUAAAAAAAAUACACAUAAUAUUUGAACCUAAGUGUGAUAAGUGCUAAAAGUAACAUGUUUUAAUCUCAUUCUUAAUGCAUUUUUGGGUGAUUAUUCAUUGUUAAUUGUGAAUUUUAUGCUCCUAAUCCUUUAAAUGCAUGUUUUGAUGCUUAAUAAAGUAUUUUUAGAAAAUACUAGAUAACAUUAAAAACUAAUAGAAAGAUGAAUGGUUACCUUAGUUGGGAAAAAAAAGCAGACUUUUGUCGAAAACUCGAAAAACCCACAUGCAAAGAAGAUGAUGAAAUCUAUGGAAUUUUAAGUUGUUUUCUUGAAGGUUUAUGAAGAUUUAAUGCUUUGAGAAUGAUAGAAAUCAAUUGAAUUAGGGUUUGAAGAACAAAAACUGGAACAGAUAAGCUUUGGGAGCAAGGGAUGGCUAAAGCAUAAAGAUGGACAAGACUGACGUGAAAAUAGAGCUAUAAGUGGGAUUUUUAGGUUGGAUUUUAAAAUCUGGUCUAAUUACCUCUUAAAAAAAUCUAAGUUUUGACUUUUUUACAAACCAAUUAUAUUUUCAAAACUAAAGGUAUUUAAAACUCAUUUUCAGAAAUUGAUUUAAUUUUCUAAAAACCAUAGUAAAAAACAUUACUGAUAAAUCAUGUCGUAAAAUUCCAAACAUUUUAAGGCUAAAAUCCCUAAAAUACCUCUAAAACUCUUAGGCUCUAUUUUGGGGUGUUACAAAAAAUCCUACUGUAGGUGUCAUAUGGCUGUGUGGACCACACGGUCUUGGUUGUUUGGGCCGUGUGGGCCACACAAGUGUGUCGGCCCAAUUUUUGAAAUUUUACCCUAGGACAUUAUUUGUCAUGCGCAACAAAUUUAGCCUUUCCAUAAGGUCCGUAUGUUAUAAAUAUGUCUAUAAAUCAUGAUUUAUAAUGCGCUGUCUCUGUAAAAUGUGACUUAUGAAUGCAUGAGAUGUAUGUUAUAUGAAUAGUAUGAUGUGUUAAUGCUAAUAUUAUCUGAAUCUGAUGUGUAUAGCAUGUAUGUCAUACACAUAUUUGAUAUUCUUUUAAUUAUGCAUGUGCAUUGGGGUGGGAUUAUGAUUACGAAGAAAGUUUUGGCAAUUUAAUCUAUCUGCAUUAUCUGGUGGCUCAGUCACAUAUAUUUGUUUCUGGCGGGUUACCACGUAUUGUCCUGGCAGCUAGGCUGCAAAUUUUUUGAAAAGUGACAUACGAUCACUUAGCGGUGUGUGGGGUUUGAUGGGUAUUUAGAACUCUAGUUGGUGUGUAGGGAUGGUCGGAGAUGGUGUGUAGCGGAUAGGGGUAGGAUCUGAUCUGUAUCUGUUUUGCAUUUGUCUCUAUAUCUGUUUAUGAAAUAUAUCUGAAUGGUAUCUGAGUGUGUAAUUGCUACAUUAUUUGAUGAACCAUGUAUGGCUGAUUUAUUGUUUGAAUUAAGUUACACACUGAGCUUGUAAGCUCACAUUCUAUUUGUCUGCUAUUAGGUAAUCUAAAGACAUAGGACGAAUUGGUGUGACGAAAGCUCGGUUAUAUACAUUGUUGUUGCCUUUCUUUUAACUUUGUUCAUAUUAAUCUGUUUUAUUCGGUGGACUAUUUUCAGACUUUUGAGACUAUUUUUUUUUAAUUCUAGAUUUUAUUUUCCGUUUUAAACUGUUUUAACGUUUUUAGAUUAUAUUAAUUCUAUCUACAUAAUGUUGAAUUUUCAAAACUAAAUCGUGUUUUCCAAAAUUUUAUUUAAUUAAGGACUUUCACUGCAAGUCUAAGGGGUUUUAUUAGUAUUUAUCCUCUAAACUUAAUGAAAUAAUUAAGAGGAAGUAUUUUCCCAAAUAAACUGGAAUUUUAAUCAUCAAAAGCCAGCACUAUUUAUUUUACAAGUCUCAAAAUGGUUUCGAGUUUUUCAAAUGAAACGUGAUAACAUCUCCAGAUCUGUUCAUAACAUCUACGCCGAGUUUGGGGUGUUACAUUUGGUGGUAUCAGAUCCUAGGUUCAAAACUUGGGCUGUGAUUUUUGGGUUCAAAUUUUUAUGAAAGUGUUUUGAACAAAUUGUAUUUCUGAUUAAUUCUGAGAAAUGAGUGUAUGAAAAUUCUGAGUCUCCAUCGUCGAUCCUGUAAGUAUUUCUUGUUUAGCUAUACUCUGUAGUUUAGAAAGACACUGUAAUGAUAUAAUUACUCUACUUUAGCUAAAUACUAUAAUAACUCUGCAAAAGUUUUGGCAAAAUUUUAGACAUAAGACUUCUAAUAACAAACUUCAACUGAUUCAAAAAAUUUUGAAAUUGUAGAUAAUAUAAGCAUAAUGAGUACGUAUGAAAAUAAUAGACGAGGUACCCGUGGGUGCAGUGGGCGCCGAAGAGGGGCUUGAGCUGAGCUAUCUUCGAUGGGCAAUAUGCUUAUUUUAAAUACGAGCGAGAUUGUUGGGAUGCCUACUAUUGAGACUGAGUCUCGGGCUCAGACUGUUGGGGACGACGCAUUGUCCCAAGCUAUGUUAAAAAUGUUAAAGAGGGUAGCUAGGGCCCAUACUGGAUCUCGUAGCCGUGGGUCAAUAACUGAGCGAAUCCAGUCAAAUGGGGUCGAAUUAUUUAGGGGCGUCGCUGGGGUCGCCCCGAAUGUGGCCAAAUACUGGUUGGAGGCCAUUGAGAGGAUCAUGAAUGAUCUAGACUACACCCCCGAGCAGAAAUUAAAGGGUACAGUUUCUUUACUUCGCGAUGAAGCAUAUCAAUAAUGGCAAAUUGUUGAGUAAGACACCCAACUAGAACAUGUGACUUGGACCUUUUUUCGCAACGCCUUCUAGAAUAAAUAUGUGGGGGCGAGAUAUAUUAAAGAUCAUAGGCUCGAGUUUAUUGAGAUAACUUAGGGGGAUAGAUCUAUGGUCGAGUAUAAGGCUGAAUUCUUGAGAUUGAGCAGGUAUGCUCGAAGCAUGAUUGAGAAUGAUUAUGAGAAGAGUGUCUAUUAUGAGAACAGAUUGAGAUAUGACAUAAAGGUUUUGGUAGCUCCACAGCAGGAGCGAGUCUUCGAAAAUCUGGUAGAAAAGGCAAAGAUUACGGAAGAGAUUAAGCGCCUAAAGUACAAAAAGAGGUAUAAGGAAAGAGGCCAGAAUAAGUCUAAGAGGGACACAUGUUCUUCUAGCUCUAUUUAGCGGCUUAAGAAAUAGGCCGAGGUUGACGAGCCUCUGUUGAUUAAGGCACCGAAUACUUUUGCAAGGAUUCAAUUUUGUGGGGACUGUGGUAGGCUCUAUUCUGGCAAGUGUUGGAGGAGGUUGAGAGCUUGUCUGGGAUGCGGGUCUAUGGAGCACUGCAUUAGGGAUUGUCUGCUUCAGGUCGAUCAAGUACAAGCUUCAACUUUUGGUUUGGUUCAGCUUCAAAGGGUGGUUCAGUAGUCACCUAGAGGCUGUGGUCAGGCCAGAGGUGAUAAUGGUAUGGGUAGAUGAUAGAAAACACUAGGCAGAUGUAUUAAUCAGACUGAGGCAAAAUAAUUUACUUUGGUUUAUGCAAUAAGGCUUUGCGAGGAUAAAGACGUCGCUGAUGUGAUAGUCAAUACGUUUUAUAUUUUUUAUGUUUGGCAUUUUGCAUUAUUAACAUUGGUUCAUGUCACUCAUACAUAGUUAGUAUUAUUUCUAUUAAUCUAGGAAUUCCUGUUGAGAGUACUUCUAGUGAGAUUUUUGUAAUUAGUCUACUGGGUCAGUCAGUGCGAGUUAAUGAAAUUUAUAGGAGGUGUUCACUGGAGAUUUAAGGUGUUGUGUUUUCGGCUAAUCUGAUAGAGUUACUAUUCAGAGAGUUUAAUCUGAUACUGGGUAUGGACUGGCUUGUAGAGUAUCAAGUCAGUUUAGAUUGUGCUAUAAAGAGAGUAACUCUGACAUUCGAGUGUGUUUUCGUGGGGAGCACUAGUUCUUUUCGUGAAAAAAAUGGAACUAUGAGGAUGUGUAUGGAUUACCGCCAGUUGAAUAAAUUGACGGUAAAGAAUAAGUACCCACUUCCGAGGAUUGAAGAAUUCUUCGAUCAGUUUCGUGGGGCAUCUGUAUUCUUGAAGAUUAAUAUUUGUUCUGGGUAUCAUCAGUUAAAGGUUAAAGAGGUUGAUGUGUAUAAGACCGCCUUCAGGACUCGUUAUGGGCACUACGAGUUCCUUGACGUGCCAUUUGGUUUGAUGAAUGCUCCAGUUGUGCGUGGAUCUCAUGAAUCAGGUUUUCCAGUCGUAUUUGGAUCAGUUGGUCAUGGUUUUCAGCAAUGAUGUUCUGGUAUAGUCUAAAUCUAAGGUGGAUCAUGAUGAGCAUCUUAGAGUGGUUCUGCAAAUACUCUAGGAGAAAAAGCUCUACGCUAAGUUGAGUAAGUGUGAGUUUUGGUUAAUGGAGGUCUUUUUUCUAGGACAUGUGACUUCUAUUGAGGGUAUCAUUAUAGACUCUAAAAAUAUUUAGCCUGUUCUUGAGUGGAAACAACCUAGGAAUGUUUUUGAAAUAUGAAGUUUUCUCGAUUUAUCAGAGAUUUGUUAAGGGGUUCUCGCUUAUCGCAAUUCUCUUGACCAAAUUGUUACGUAAGAAUGUGUCAUUUGUGUGGACUGAUGAGCAACAAUCGAGAUUUGAAAAGCUUAAAUCUGUUUUGACUCAGGCGCCUAUUUUGAUACAGCCUAAAUUGGGUAAAAAGUUUGUUGUGUACAGUGAUGCUUCUCACAUCGGGUUGGGUUGUGUUUUGAUGUAGAGAGGUAAGGUAGUGGCUUACGUAUCCCGACAACUUAAGUCACAUGAAUGCAACUAUCAUACACACGAUCUUGAGUUGGCUACGGUAGUCUUUGCUUUAAAAAUCUAGAGGCGUUAUCUGUAUGGUGAGAAGUGUAUCAUCCACACUAAUCACAAUAGCCUCAAGUAUCUUUUUACUCAGAAAGAGUUCGAUAGUAGGCAACGUAGAUGGAUUGAGUUGCUUAAAUACUAUGACUGCACCAUUGAGUAUCAUCCUGGUAAGGCCAAUGUUGUGGUCGAUGCUCUUAUUUGUUGAUCGAUGUCUGAUUUGAGGUAGAUAUAUGCAUGCCUAAGUCUAUUUGAUGAAGGUAGUCUCUUAGUCGAAUUGCAAGUCAAACCAACUUGGAUUGAUCAGAUUCGGGAUAAGCAGUUAGUGGAUGAUUAUCUGAUUCUUCGGUUUUAACAGAUUGAGGAGGGUAGGAUGUCUGAUUUUGUGAUGAAUAGUGAGGGUGUUCUGGGUUUUAGAGGUCGGGUUUGUAUUCUUAAUGAUUUCAAGUUGAGGCAAUCCAUAUUACGAGAAGUGUAUAGUAGCUCUUAUGUUAUGCAUCUCAGUGGAAAUAAGAUGUGUUAGGAUCUCCAAGAAUUAUACUGGUGGCUUGGUUUGAAAUGAGAGGUAAUUGAUUUUGUUUCUCCUUGUUUGACGUGCCAACAAGUUAAGGCUAAGCACCAACUGCCUUCGAGUUUGCUUCAACCCGUUAAGAUUCAUCUUUGGAAAUGGGAACGUGUGACUAUGGACUUCGUUAGUAGGUUGCCCUUGACACCCACUAAGAAGGAUUUUGUUUGGGUCAUCGUGGAUUGUUUGACCAAGUCUACUCAUUUUCUUCCGGUUAGGAUUGAUUAUUUUCUACAAAAAUUAGCUAAAUUGUACAUUUUCGAGGUUGUUAGACUUUAUGGGGUUCUGAUCUCGAUUAUCUUUAAUAAAGACCCUCGAUUUAGGUCUCGAUUUUGGAAGAAAUUGUAUGAGGCUUUGGGUACUCGGUUUGACUUCAAUAUUGCAUUUCAUCCUCAGACUGAUAGGCAAUCUGAGAGAGUGCAGAGUUGUGUUAUCGACUUCUAUAGUAGUUAGGAGGAGAUUCUGCCACUGGUUAAGUUCGUAUAUAAUAACAGCUUUCAAUCCAAUAUUCAGAUGGCACAUUACGAGGCUCUAUAUGGUUGUAAAUGACACACCCUUUUGUGUUGGACUGAGUUGGAUGAGAGAUGAAUUUUAGGUGUUGAUUUGGUUUAUGAUAUUAAUGAUAAGUUUUGACUGAUUCGGGAUCGUCUUAAGGUAACUUCUGAUAGAUAAAAAUCUUAGACAAAUUUGAAAAAGAGAGAUAUUGAGUUUGUUGUGGGAGAUCAGGUUUUCUUUAAGGUAUCUUCGUGGAAGAAGGUCAUUCGGUUAGGACGUAAGGGUAAGUUGAGCCCUAAGUUCAUUGGGCCUUAUCAAAUUCUGAAAUGAGUUGAGUCAGUCACCUAUCAGUUUGAGUUACCUUUGGAGUUAGAUCGUAUUCAUGACGUGUUCUAUGUUUCUAUGUUGAGGUGGUAUUGAUCUGAUCCAAAUCAUGUUGUAUUUGUUGAGGAAAUUGAGGUAAGUAUGGAUUUGACUUUCGAGGAGGAGCUGGUUCAGAUUCUGGAUCGAGAGGUUAAGGUCUUGAAGAGAAAAACCAUUCUGUUGGUUAAGGUUCUAUGGUGGA